UAUCAUAUAUAUUUUAAAAUUUUAAUUUUUAUUAUUAUUUUUUAUCUUAAAAAAUUUAAAAUUUUAUUUCUAUUAUCUAUCGGCCGCAUCGCGCGGGUCUGUAUACUAGUAAAAAUUUAUACCACCAAAUUUAAAAUAAUAUAUUUUAAACCACAUGGUAGUAAAACAAAAAAGUGCAAAAUUAUAGUAAUUAAUUAAGAGACCCGCGCGAUGCUGUGGGUAGUUAUUUUAAAAUUUAAUUUUGAAAAUUAGUUAUAAAACUAGGCUGGAAUACUAUCAAUAACACCAAACUAUUGGUGCUAUUGAUUUUUUAGUCCUUGGAUUGAGAAAUGGGUGGUUAGGAUGAUGUGGGCCCUCUAGGGUUGAGUGAGUGGUUGGUUGAAUAGUAUAAUCUAACGGAUAAAAAUAAUCAAAGAUUUAAAUUAACUGUGGAAAAGCACUCGAUAGCACCAAUUCUUGUGAUAUCGAUAGUACCCAGCGGACUCUCUCUCUCUCUCUCUCAUUUGCAGACAGUAGACCGGAGUCCAUCGCCACAUCUCUCAGUCUCUCUCUCUCUCAUCUCUCUCUCUCCCUCUCUCUCCCCCCUGCUUCAGGUUUCAGACUCCGUGUCUAAGGGCAAGCGCCGGCCCUCAGAUUCUCUCUCUCUCUCUCUCUCUCUCUAUAAUAUAUAUAGAGUGGGCUGGUAUGCUUAUGAAAGCACGUGAGCCCUCCGUGUUCUAUAGUUGUUUUCAAUAUUCGGACUUUCGAAUCGACGAUCGCUCCGUUAGAGUUGAUCUAGAGUAUUUGUAUACUAAAAAAUAAAUUUGCGAUUUUUCGAUAUCAUUUGCCUAGUGAUCGAAGGGCUCAAAUCAAUAAUUUUAAUGGCCUGGUGAGCCGUUGCAAGUUUAACGGUGUAGAAAUAUCAAAUCAUAGGAAAUUUUGAUAGAAAAUUCUUUAUACAUAUAAAACAAGAUCAAUAACUUGAUCUAAAAAUUUUAAUGUCAUAUCAUCAUAUUUGUAAGAUUUUUAUUUUCAACCCGUUGAUUUUGAGCCACUUCGAUCACUAGGCAAAUGAUAUCGAAAAAUCGAAAAUUUAUUUUUUAGAUACUUCAAAUACUCUAGAUCAAGUCUAACAGAGCCGAUCGUCCGAUUCGAAAGUCCAAGAACCAUUGAAAACAAAGUAAAGCGCGGAGCCCUCCGUGCUUCCAUACAAUCCUACCGCACUCUAUAUAUAGAAUAGAGGAGGUCCACGUUGAACUCCCUCUGACCCUGAAAACCCUCAUAUGAGCCCGCUGUUUUUCCGGUCGCGCAAGAACGCUGCGCGCCGCCGUGCACCCACACGCCGCGCCGCGCCCGCCAUGCCGGCGGCCCACCGCCGUUGCCGUGUGCGCCCGCGCCCGCGCUGCCGCAGUCCCACUGCCAGCUGACGAGACUGCCCCACGUCAUACCGCAUGCCGCGCGCCCGCACCUCCUUAGGAGCGGCCUCCGCGUCGCCCGCAGUCACGCCAGCAGCGCCGGACCCCCUCGCAGCCCAGCGCCACGCCUGCGCGCGCCCGCUCCCACUUCGCGGCUCCCUCGCGCACAGCGCCCGACCACACGCAUGCCCGCCUGCGCACACUCGCCACCCCCCACGGCCCCAGCUCGCGCCGCGCCCACUCCCGCUCGCAGCUCCGCCCAUGCGCCGUGCCCUCGCCCGUGCCUCGACCUCCUCGCGACACGUGUGCAGUUAUUGAGAAAUAAUAUAUAGUUAUAAAUUAUAGAUUAUAGAUUAUAGAUAGAUAGUAUUUGCAGUUUAUGGUCAAUACUAAGAGCCGAAAUGGGACCAUGUUUUGUUUUGAUUCAUCCGCUUACUUAGAAAUGUUCAUAUUCCGCGUAUUUUUUAACAUAAAUUAUUAUUGUAACGUGAAGGCCCACCAUACAUUGUUUUUACCUCACUAACCAUCACCUCAAUUAUUAUAUCUAGAAAUUAAGGACGAAAAGAAGAAUAUUUUAUUUUUGUCCUUACAAAGUAGUUAAAUUUUUUACUUAACACAUAAGUUUCUGCUAAAUUAUAUGAAAUAAUUAUUGUUUUUUAAAAACCUAACUUAGUGAAGAGCAAUACCUCACAAAGAAAUAAACUUAGCUGGAAAUAUGAAUCAAUUAGAAUUCGAACUUGGUCUCGGGCACCAACACCAAGCCCUUUUGCCACUUGCGUCAAUGUUAAAUAAUAUAAAAUAAUUUUUGUUCUAAAAAUAAUUUAAACUAGUAGAGAAUGAUAUUUUUAUAUUUUUAACGAUUCCAUUCAACCUUUAAAUAAUACUACAGAUAUUUAAAUCCUACAAUUUAUCUGUUUUAGGGUUUACGGUCAAGCAUUUAAAUUCCCCAUGUUAAGUUUAGUAGGAUUAGUUGGCCUCUUAGACUAACAGAAUUGUUUUCUAUUUUUUUCUUGUUGAAGUCAUUGAAGGAUUUUUUUUUUUUUUUUUCUCAUUGUCGUUUUGAAGUUUUUUUCGUAGGCUAUGUACACAUACAUUAUGGGGACUCGAUUGGGCUCUUAAGUCACCACCAAAACCAAGCUAUGAAUUAGCCACUUAAUUUUUAUUAUUUUUUUUGUACUAUAUUGUAGUCCUUUCAUAAAAUAUAUACUUCUCUCCUCUCCAAUAAAUAAUUUAGCGUAAAUAUUAUUUUCAACAAUUAAUAUUAAAGCUCGGAUGAGACGGAGUCAAACAUAACCAUAUUAUAACAAAGUAGGGCGGUGAAUCAAAGUAAAUAUUGCUUUUAAUAAUUAAUAUUAGAAUGAAUAAUAUAGUUAAAUUAUGUGACAUGAACAUUUUGUUUAGUUUAUUCUUUUAAUUAAUUUCAAAAAUUUAUGUGUAUGACUGAUAAUCAGUGUGAUCAAAUAUUUAGAAUUGAAUGUUAUAUUCAGCUUUCCAAUCAGUUUUUUGAAUGAGAUAAAUCAUCAGAUAACUAAAAUAUUGUAUCCUCUAAAAUUAUAGAUAACUAGACUUUUAAACGAGUGAAAAUCAAACUCCUUAUAAUUAUACUAAGAAAUUUUUAUAGGGAAUAAGUUAUCCUUGAAUAAUCUAUUUUGAUAUCCAAACAAGACUUAAAAGCUUAAUUUACAAAAUUAGUAUUUUAAAUAUUUACAUUAAAUAGCAGUGACCUAGUGUUUUACUUGAAUUUAACUUAGUAUUUACUUUGUGUAUGUGUUUGAGAGAGAGAGAGAGAGAGAGAGAGAGAGAGAGAGAGAGAGAGAGAGGCUCUUCAGUAGAAUCAAUGUUUUGAAAACCAACUUGAUCCCUCUACCGAUGCAACAAAACAGACUCCUGCAAAUGGCGGUUGACUUCCAACCAGCUAUUUUCUGUCAAAUCUCUCUACCGAUUUAUCACAAUUGCGGGACAAAUAAACCCGAUAAACGGCGAUAUCUGGAAGUUGAAAAUUCCACUCAAAGUCAAAGUCUUUACCUGGCUGCUGCUCCGGAAAAGACUACCCACAGCCGACAGACUGUCCAAACGGGGCAUAGCUGUUGAUCAAUACUGUGUCAUCUGUGUUGUGCUAACGGAGAGCUGCGACCAUCUUUUCUGCAACUGCGUCUUUGUUAGAUACCUCCUCCUCAUUGCAGGCGGGUGGAACACACCUGGCGCUAUACCUGGCGGCACUCCUGGUGACGUUCGCAGCCUCUGGACAACUACUGCCACCACUUGUGUCGAUAUGACGAGAGCAAAAGGACUUACGCUACUAGCAGCAAUCUGGUGGGUGGUUUGGAGGGAUAGAAACAACUCUGUGUUCCAGGCUUUCCCGACCAAUGCGAGCCGGUCACUAGAACGGGUCAACCUCCUGACGAACAGCUGGGACACGCUGUGCUAACGGGUCGCUAGCUUUCUUGUCUCCCUACCCCCCUCUUGUUUUUUGUUUUUUCAUUCUUGCUCUAUUUUUUAUUUUUUCCUCGCCCUAUCUUCGGAGGCCUUAGCUGCUUCCAUCAUGUAUGCUCAGUUCAUUUUAUUUAAUGAAUGAAGCAGUUAGCUUGCUACUUUUUCCUCAAAAAAAAAGAAAACCAACUUGAUCAAACAGUAGAACCAAGUCUAUGGAAUUGGAUCUAUCAUUAUGUAAUUUUCACAAUAAAUUAAAAUUUAGGAUGAGGUUUGAAGCAGCUGUAUUUAAAUAUGUUAAAUGAAUCAAGCUGAACACUUUGCGCAAAUCAUCUUGGUUCAUUAAAUGUACUUUAAUUGCUUCCUCCAACCAAGUGUAAGGGUUAAUUAAAUUAAAUUGGAUGGAUGUCACACCACUCCACAAAAAGUUAAAGCAUUGAACGCCUCUUAGUUGGUUAGGUCAUCUCUAUUAUACUAUUGCUGAGAGUGGGUGGUAUUGGAUCUCUGGCGCUAAUCAUUAAUUUACAAGAAUUUACAUUUUAAUUAAAAUAUAUAGAUACAGCGCACACAAGUUUCGAUUAUAAUUUGUUCCAACACAUGAUUGGAUGCUCGUCUUGCUAAGCCAAUAGGUGGUAGCUCCCAUUUAUGCAAUGUAAUUUGAGAAUAAAUUUUGCUUUAAUAUCUUAUUUAAUUUGGUCGGAUAUACUAAAAAAGUAUUGCAGUUAUAAAUAAUUUAUUUAGUUACAAGUAGUUGAGAAUUAUAUUUAUAAAUUUUAUAACUUUAUAUAUGGGAUUGUGAGAUUAUUCUCAAUAUAGAUAAAAGAAAUAUUUUUCUACUUAAAAAGUGAUUAGAUAGGUUAACUUUUUUUUAUUAUUUAAAAAAUUGCUCUCUCCAACUGUUGCUAUUUGAACUAUAGGUAAUUUUGGUAUAAUUUCAACUACUGUAGAUGAUACUCCUUUAAAAAAAAUUAUUUUCUAUUUUAAAAGGUGAUUAGAAAGGUUAGUUUAUUUUUUGUUUAAAAUUGCUUAUUUUAACUACUGAUAACCGUGAACAAUUUUGAUGCAGUUUUGACUAUUGUUGUUGAGCAUCUUUGUGCAAUUUCAAUUACAAUAGUUGAAUUCAAAUGGAUUAAAUGAAACAUCGUAUUUGAAUUUACAACUGUAGUGCGGUUACAACUACCUACAACCAAGCAGUUGCUAAGCGGAACAUAUGCGAGAGUAUGGCUUGCGGUCAUCUUAAAAUAAACAUAUCUAAGCCAGAGCUAGGCUUUUUAUCUGAAAGAUAGAAUCCAUCUCGAGUAUAUAUCAACAUUUCAAUGACCAGCCAAAAAAAAAUUUCUAGCAAAUGAGGUGGAUUAUGCGCAAUCGGUCCAAUUUUCGCAAGUUGGACAAAGACUCAAAAUCAACGGCUCAAAAAAAAAACUGCUCUAAGCCCUAUAGCCCUUUUGAUGAUUCUGGGAGUAUGUAUUAUGCAUGGUCCACCAAUUCGCACAUAUUCGAGUAAGAUACAAGUUUUACGGUCUCAUUAAGAAAAGAAGUAUAUCUCUAUAUACUUUAUUUCUAACUCCUUUUGGGCGAGAGCCCUUGAUACUUUCCAGAUCCGAAUCAACAAUAACACUCUUUACUAAUUCUCCAAUAAUAAUAAAUUGGGAAGUACAUAUUUUCAGAAAAGAAAAAGAAACACCUACGUCGUACAACAAUCUAAAUUUAUCUACAAUUUUUGGGCCUGAUCUGGCCCAAAUAGUGUCACACACUUUCAAAAUUCGGCCCAAUCAAGAAGUUUGGGCCGGGCCGGGUUGGGCCGAUCGGGCCCUUUGAUAUCUUUUUUCUUUUUUAAAUUUUUUUCAAAAUUAUUCUCCUACGACUAUGAAAAUUUGGAUUAAAAUUGUACAAUCUAGUAACUUUUCUUUUCCCCAAUUGACCAGUAACUUUUAUUUGGUGUAAAUAAUUCACUAGUUUUCUGAAACAACGUGUCCUAUAUAGUUUGAUUUGGCGCAAAAAUUCCCAGGCUCAUUUUACCAAAUCAAUUUUUUUGUAAUAGUUAAUUUUUUUUUUGCACCAUGGCGACCUUUGCAGGCCAAACUGCAAGGAGAGUUAAAAAAAAAAAGGAAAAAAGGUAAGUAGGCUUUUUUUUUUUCCAACCAAAUUAACUUGGUGGAUUAAAGUGCAAUUACACAAAAAUUAACCAGUUCCUAAAUAAUGGCCACAAAACGCCACAUAAGAUGCAAUAGGCCUAAUCCGAAGUUGUAUGGAGUCUAUUUGCGCGUGAAUCACUGGAGAUCUUUUGACUGCAUAACAGCAUAAGCCUCCACUAGCGAACCAUUACAGCUAUAAAAGGUUGUCGGUGAUGCCUAUAAACCCACUUAGGCUUAGUUUGGCAUUGAAGCCUAUCCGACACUAUUAGAUAAAAUAAAGUUGGGACAAAAAUAUAUAGAAAUAUACUUAUGCAUUUUUCGGUGAAAUCGCAGAAAGUAUAUCACAACCGACUCAUCAUAAUAUUCAUUUUAUGAUAUACAAUACGUACGAAAAUAAAUAAGAUAUUUUUUUUUAUCGUACUUUCUCAAUGCACAUAACACAAUCUUCUCGUACUAAUCAAUAGUGGUCCAGAAAGAGAGACACAUAGUUCGUAUAACGAACAACCACUGACAAGCAACAACUCUCUUGGAAAGGACAUCUAAUGUGCCUAAUGCCCAUAAAAGGAGGGGCAAUGGUCAAUUUUCCGGAUUGGAAAUAUGCACUUUGCCCCCUCCACUUUAGUUCGUCUGUCUGGCAUUAGCGGUGUAACAAGUGAAAGCAUUACUUUUUGGUCCUGUUCAUGGCAGACCUUCAAUUAAUAUUGGAUGAUCUCACCACACAACUUGCGAAAUCUUCAUCCCAUCUAGAAGUUGGCGUUACGUUUGGAGGCAAACUUGUUAUGAAACUAAAUUAAAUUAAACUUCAAAAGAGUUGAAUUUAAUUGUAUUUAUAUUUCCAUGUUCCCAAAAUGGAUGUGUCUCCGUUCUCCAUGCUCCAAGCUGUGAAUUUAAGCAAAAUCAUAUUUAGGCAUCUAAAUUUCAAAUUUGAGGUUCCAAAACAAUGAAUAAGAACGAAAAAUUGAAGUGUCAAAAAAAUAUAACACAAUCGUUUGUCCCUAUAAUCUUAAACUUUCAAAAAAUACAGUCAUUUUUAUAUUUAUAUUAAACAUUUUUCUUCGUAUCCGGAUUCAAUAGUUUUUAGUUGGCCCAGGUCGGAAGAUUCAAACUCAGCUUCUUCAGCUCUAAUACCAAAGUAAAAAAAAUGUAAACUGAUAUUGUUUACAAUUGUUCUUUUUCCUCAACACAAAGUAAUUUUUCAUAACACAAUUGUUCUUUUUCCUCCACGUCCUUGCUCCAAGAAAGAAAAAAGAAAAAGGAAAACCCCAAAGUAGGGAUGCACAUGGAGUAAGGCAUGUGGAAAUCCCACUCGGUAGAAGCCGAAAAUAAUAAAUAAAUAAAUAAAUAAAUAAUCUGUUUCGAAUUUACUUCGAUCUACUAAGAAAUAGAGCAGAAAACGAAAAAUUCUUUUUUUUUUAAUCUGUUUCAAUCCACUCAAAACUCAAUGCUCACCCCACCUGCCCUGAAUAUAGAAUAAGGCGGUGAAAAAUAGAAUAAAAAAUUAAUCUUCUGAAUUCGGCCAAAUCUGUAAAAAAAGCAGAUAAUGAAAGAUCUCGCCUGUCUCAGAAUCCGCAUGGUUUGCAUCCCUACCCAAUAUAAAAGAAUACGACACUAGUGGGUAGGUCUCAAUUAACUAUCGCGACUACUCACUCUCACCUUAUCUUCACACGAAUACAUCAAAAUUUUCCCGUGUGCAUCUUUAAAUCUCCACCGUCCAAUCAAUCAGCCAAUAAAAUGAAAAUGAAUUCCUAUCCUCAUCCGUGACGUAACCAUUGCUCUGAGAUGACGUAAUAGUUGGACCCCAUCAAAACAAUCUUGUUCUUUUUCUUUUUUCUUUUUUCAUUUUUUUUUGGUUUCUAGAAGCUGGAAUAAUCCAAACUAGACGCACUAUAUCGCGAAGCAAAUUUUUUCCUUUUUUUUUUUUUUCCCUCACGUUGUAAGGGGUGUUGUAGGUAUUUUGUUCUCAAGAGAGAGAGAGAGAGAGAGAGACUUCGAGGAUCAAAAAAUAUAUAUAAAUAUAUGCUGAUAUUUUUAAAAAAAUUUUGCUUGUCACAAUCAAGUAACUUGAUAACUAAGCAUGUAGUAGUCGCCGAGGAUUGUAACCUUCAACCAUUCUUGUAAAGCAAGAUAAAUGGAUGUUACUGUUUUUUUCUUUUUACGAAAUUAAUUCUUUAGAUAAUGUGACAUCAGAGAUCUUUCUGUUUCCACGUAUCAUGAGUUUGAUUCUCGAAUAUCUUUUAUCUGUUCAGUCGCUGUGCGUAGUAUAAUUAACCUGAUAUCCAUCGAUAUGUGAUUGUAAUUUUAGGAUCAAUAACCGACCGUCCCUAGAGUAAGUGGCAAUUGGUUUGAUGGUUGGUGCCCGAGACCCAAGUUCGAAUCCUAGUUGAUUCACAUUUUCAGUUAAGUUUAUUUCUAAAUUAAAUAAACGAAGCGGGUAGCGUGCUACCUAUCUCUCAAAAAAAAAAAAAUUUAGGAUCAAUAACGAACCCUUUCCUAUGGUGUAGAAGAUACCAAAAAAGAAAAUAUUGUUUCAUCUUUUGAAAUCAUUAUUGUUUAUUUAUUUUUCAUCAUAAAGUUGUUCAUUAUUAAUAUCUAUAGAGUGAGUAACAAUUAUGUUAGUAUUGUUUAGAAGAAAAUAAUACUUAGUAUCCCAUCAGUGCUAUAUGUAAAGUUCGACUGGGAUACUAUCAAUGGCAUUUGGACUUUUUUGUUAUCGAUUUUUUAACCGUUAGAUUUAGACUUUAAUCAAUUCCAUCAUUUAGAUCAUAUUACUCAACCAACCACUCACUCAACCUUAGGAAGACUGCUACUAAACCAUAGAAAACUACUAUCAUCCAAACCUUACAAUUUUUCAUCUAAGAAUUAAAAAUUUGAUAGCAAAAAAAUUCAAAUACUAUUAAUAGUAUUCCAGCCCCCAAUUAUAUAUAUAUAUAGUAGGUCUUGUGUGCUAUUAGGAGCACGGAGGCCUUCGUGCUCCUAAACCGUUUUCGAUGAUGGAGCUUUCGAAUCGACAAUCGGCUCCACUAGACUUAAUCUAGCAUAUUUGAAGUAUCUAGAAAAUAAAUUGUGUGGUUUUUCGAUAUCAUUUACCUAACGAUUAAAAUGGUUCAAAAUCAAUGGCAGAAAAUAAAAAUUUCAUAAAAAGUUGUGAUAUAGAACUAGGCUAAUAUACUAUCAAUAGCACCAAGUCAUUGGUGCUACCAAGUUUUUGGCCAUUGGAUUAAAAGAUGUGCGGUUAGUAUGAUGUGGGUUCCCUAGGGUUGAGUGGGUGGUUGGUUGAAUAGUAUGAUCUAACGGGUGAAAAUGAUCAAAAAGGUAGAUCUAACGGCAGAAAACUUAGUAGCACUAAGGGCGUGUUUGGUUCGCUUCUUUUUCACCCUGGAAUCGGAAUCGGAAUGGAUAAAUCCGUUUGUGGGUGUUUGGUACGCGGGAGUUCCAUUCCGAUUCCGAUUCCCGAGUGGAAUCGGAAUCCUCCAAUCACCUCUUUUUUCAAUCCGGCCUAGAAGGCCGGAUUGAAAGUUGAAUCCGGACGGAAUGAAUAUUUAUUCGGAUUAAAUUUAUUUUUUCAACUUUUUUAAUUAAAAUAUGAGUUAAAAUUUUAAAAUUAAAUAUAUAAUUUUAAAUUUUAAUUUAAACUUAAAUUAAAAAUUAAAAUUUAAUCAAGUAUUUCGAAUCUAACUUAUGAAUUUGAAUUUAAAUUAAAUUUUAAUUUAUAUAAAAUGUUAUUCAAAUUUUAUUUCAAACUUAAAUUAAAUUUAUGUAUUCAAAUUAAAUUUAAAUUGCAAUUUUAAAUUUGAAUUUGAAUAAAUCAAAAUUUAGUUUCAUAUUUUAAAUUAUCCACUCAACUUCAAAGUUUAAUUUUUUUAAAAAAUAGAUUUAAAAUUUUGACAUUAUUUCAAAAUUUUGAUGUAAAUUUUUAAUAUUUAAUUUUUAAUUUGAAUUUAAAUUAAUAUAUUAUAAAGAUAAUGUUAGUAUAUUAAUUUGAUUACAUUUUUUAUAUCCACCUGAACCAAACACCGACAAUGGGAAUGAUUUAUUCCGAUUUCGAUUCAGGUGAUGAACCAAACAGAAUUAGGUAAUGAGUCAUUCCGAUUCCGAUUCCAGUUUAUUUUGAUUCCGAUUCCGAUUUCGAUUCCGACUUCGAACCAAACGCGCCCUAAGUGCUUCGUGCUAUUAAUAGCAUAGCAGGCGGUCUCUCUCUCUCUCUCUCUCCCUCUCUCUCUCUCUCUCUCUCUAUAUAUAUAUAUAUAUAUAUGAGUUGAGCUGGAAUGCUGUCGGUAAUAAACGGGCUUCGUUGCCACCCAUUUGUUUUCGAUGAUGAAACCUCCAAAUUGACGAUCAGCAUCGUUGAAUAUAAUCUAUACCACUUGAAAUAUAUAAAAAUCAAAUUUCAAAUCUUUUAGACAUCAUUGACCCAAUAAUCAAAGGGUUUCAAAAUUUGUAAUUUUAAUGGUUGAUAUGAGGCGUUUUUUCGUUUAACGGUGUAAAGAUAUUCAAAUCAAUUGAAUUUUGUUUAGAAAAUUCUUUAAACUAUUUAGAAUAAGAUCUAUACUCUCGAUCUUGAUUAUAAAAUUCAUAUCAUCACUUUUUAAAAAAUAUUUUUCAUUUAUGUGUCUACUUGAUGGGCAAGAGAACAAUAUUAAAAAAUCAUGAAAUUUGGUUUUUAGAUGAUUCAAGUGGUAUAAAUUAUGUUCAACAAUGCCGAUCGUCGAUUUGGAAGCUCUAUCAUCAAAAAUAAAGAGAUGGCAACAGAGCCCAUUUGUUUCCGAAAACGUCCAAAUGUAAUUCCCAGAAUUUCAAGAUACUCUCCAUAACUCCUAACCACUUUCGACCAUUUGAGUUUUUAAUAUAAAAGUAAAAAAAUGAUUAACUCCUAAAAAAAGACUUUUGAAUCACAGGAUAUAAAAUUUACACUUACUUAUAGGGUAUAUAUACAGAGUGCAUUAUUUUUGAAAAAAAUUUAAAUAUAAUUAAUUUACGUGGUUUUCUGAGUGGGAUAAAUAAUGCUCAGUCCAUUUCAUAAACACAGGAGUAAAAAUAAUAAUAAAAAAAAUAAAAAAGAUGGCCUAAUUAACGGUUUUUUCAACAGGCGACAAAAAGAGAAAAGAGAAAAACGCCAAAAAGCGUCCAUAUAUUCUAUGCAUUUCUUAUCCAAUUUGAAGCAGUCAAAAACUCAAACCCGUUGACCUUCUCAAAACUCCAAAGUCUACCCUCCUUAAUUACUUAAAGGAAAAAAUAUGCAUGAUAUAUACUCCAAUAGAUUACUAACUUUAUCCGUAUGCAUGUGCUACAACAUGCAAGAAAAAACUUCAAAUACCACUCCUAUGAUUUCAUACAUUUUCACCUUAGUACCAUGUGAUUUAAAAUGUAUCAAUUUGGUGUUCUGUAGUUUUAUUUUUAUCUUUUUAUUAUCGAUUCCACUAAUUUUUUGUUAAAUCAAUAACAAAGUUAAACUAAAUGGUAUUAAAGUGAAUAUUCGAUAAACCCGGGUUAUCUAAAAUUUUUUGUAUAUAAUUUAAUAAAAUAUUAAGAAAAAAGCUGACAAAAAGAUAAAAAUGAAACCGCAGGGUACUAAAGUGAGAAAGUGCGAAACUACAGGAGUGGUAUUUAAAGUUUAUCCAGAACAUGUACAAUAAAUGUUUCUAAACUCAAAAAAAAAAAAGGUCAAAUUGUUGCUCUCAUGUAUUGUUGAUCGGUUGAUACUAAUUAAUCACGCAAAAUGAGUGUUUUUUCUUUUUUUUUCACAAGAAUUUUUAGUGCCAAAUGUGCCCUUUUUACUUUCACAGUUUGGUUUGUAGAAAAAGAAAAUAUAAUAUAAUUUUGCGAAUAUUUAGAUGACACAAUUGAUUAUUUUCUCUUUACUAUAAGAACAAAAAAGUCCUAAUUUUCCUACAAAUUUUUUCCAUGUUUCACAUACAAAUUAACAAAACCAAGGAACAAAAAUUUUAGCAACUGGAGAAUUCAUGGCCACUGAUCACAAGUAUAAUUUCAAGUAUUUUCAGUUGUAUUUCUUAGCUAUAAAUCACAUUCUAAAUCUACAUAAAAUUGUUAUAAAACCUGUGUGGCAUGCCAUUACAUAACAAAAAAGGUUUUUAUUUUUUUUAUUUUUUUGUGUAUUACUAAAUUAAACAUCAUUACUACCAACAACAUGUUUGUACAUGGUUCUUCACAAAUCACUAUAAACAGGCCACUACCUAUAUAUAACAACAAUAAAUCAACUAUUUAUAUUUAUAAAUCAAAAUCGUACAUAACGCGACCCAAAUUGAUUGUACAAUCAUAUAUACUGCUAGGGUUUAAGCCUAGCAGUUGGUACCACCCGACACGCUCGAAGGAGAGGUUGCAAGUUGAGACAUAGUUGCGGAACUAAUACACAACAAUCAUAUAGUUUUUAAUUUUACUCAAAAUAAAAAAUUAUUUCUCAAGAAUCAAGAAUUUAAGUGUCCGUCAAUAUGAAUCAUACAUACAGUGUAAAGAAAAUAUCCACACGGUAUAAACCCUAUGUUGAUAUGAAAGCUUAGAAAUUUUUUUUUUUCCUUUAAGUUAAUUAAUAGUUAUCUCAAUAAAAUAUAAAAGAUUUGAAAAAAAAGAUAUAUUUAUAUAAUAAGUAAACAAAAUACAUUGGUGCGAAGAAAUAAAUACUUUAUGUAACAGUGUAUUGGUACACAAAUAUUUUUUUUGUGAUCGACACACUGUUUCAUACCCUAACAACAAGUUUUUCAUGUGAAUCCAUACCAUAGCAUUUAAAUCCGUGUCAACAACCACUAAAUUAUUAUCUCCCUCAAAAAUAUAUUACUAAAAACAAUAUAAAUUAAUCAAAUAAAUAAUAUAGUAGCAUUUGGUCACCUUAUUUUGAGACAUCAAACUUUAAUAUUCGAUGUAAUGUAAUUUUUGACCCACAAACACGCAUUUUGUUCUAGAAGCAUGGAGAAUAAUCUAGUAAUUAAUACCGGUUUUUUUAGCUAGCAUCAACGAAGUAUAUAUCAUCACAUCACGAAGGCAAAUCCUUUCCGUAUUAGAGUUCUCGACUUAAUAAAUUUUUCCACGAGCCGUGAUUUCCGUGAUACGCUUGCGAAUAUAUAUAUAGUAUUCCACGUGUUGUACAGUGUACUUGAUUAGAUACAACCAACGGCGUUGAUUCGCUUAAAAAUGAAAGGUUAACAUAUGAGCCAAUAAGAACUCGCCACGUAAUCUUCUAGAAAGGGCACAAAAUCUCACACGCUCGCAUACGUACGCGGUUACACCGCCACACGUGUUUGCCUCUCCCCCAAGGAAGCGGAAGCGUCAACCGCCACCCCACCACCCGAAACCCAACACCGGGAUUAUUAGCUCAACGCUUACCUCAACACCCCUCCGAGAUUGUCCGUGAACCGGGUCCACCGUGAACCGAUGAGUUUUUACAAAUUAGUUUUGAAUUACUGAAUGUAUUCUUAUUUGUUCAAAUAUGGAUGCAUUAAUGAAAUAUAAUGUUGCUUUCGUGAGAAGAUCAUGGUUUUUGUAUUUGUAUCAUGAAUUUUAUCUAAUUACUAAUUAGUAUAGAUUAUUGAAUUAUAUGAUGUGACUAUAUUAAUUUAUAAAUUAUAUAGGAACAUGCGUUACCAUUGAGUAAUGCUUUUAUAUAAAAAUUUUUAGCUACUUAAAAUAAUAUGUGAAGAGAGAACGAUCAUAUUACUAUUAAAGGUGAUCCAUUUUUGUUCUUUCUCCUAGGAAAGCAAAACUCUACUUUUUAAUAAUAAUUUUUUUCUAAUGUAAUUAACAAAACAUUUCGCCACAUACUAGAUGAAAAAUACUAUUAUAUUAUAAAUAAAUAGUACAAAUUACUUUAUGUUAUGCAUGUCGUUUUCGAUAAUUGAGCUUUCAAAUAGCUAAUCAAUACUAUAAAAUAUGAUUUACAACAUUCGAACAAUCUAAAAAUCAAAUUUAGAAUUUUUUUAUAACAAAUUACAUACUAGUCGAAAGAUUUAAAAAUAAUAAUUUUUAAUGGUGCAAAGCAAUCCAAAUUCAGUAAAUAUUUAAUAAAACAUUAUAUUCAAUAUCUAGAUUAAAAUUAAAAUCUUUGAUUAUGUCAUAAAAUUCCAUUCUCUAUUUUUAUAAAUUAUUUGUUUUUUGAUCAUUUACUUUGUUGAUAGCUGAUAUAUAUAAAAAAAUUAUAUUCAAAAAUUAUAAAACUUUAUUUAUUAAAUUAUUGGAAUGCUUUAGAUCAUAUUUAACAGCUUUCACUGACAAUUCGUAAGCUCGAUAAUCGAAACGAAGUAUAGAUAGGACAGAAGAUUUGUGCUAUUUAUAGCAUAAUAGUUUUUUCCCUAAUUAGAUUUUAAAAAAUCACAUUAUAUAUAUAUAUAUANUCUUGCCCAUUUAUAUUUGGAAGUCCACAUUUUGAGUAACAUUAGGCCACCGUUUGGUUGGGGGUUAAGGGGUGGAAUAACCCCUUAACCCCUAAUUUAUACUCAAACACCACUCUUUUGGGGUGGGGUUAGUAAACCCCACCCCAAACCGGAUUAGUGGGGUUUACUAACCCCACUCCCCCUCCCAACUUUAACCCCGCACGCAUCCCGAGCCCUCACAAUUUUUUUCUUUAUCAAUCAUUAACCCCACUCCCCCUCCCAACUUUAAUCCCGCACGCAUCCCGAGCUCUCACCUUUUUCUUCUUUAUCAAUCAUUAUCUUUUUAUCCCACCUACUCCAACCAAACACUUUUUUUCACUAUCCUAUACUAACUCCAAUCUCCAACCAAACACAAAAAAAUUUUAACAUCAUUUUAACCCUGAACUUAACCCUAUCCCUGAAAUAGCUACUUUUUCUUAAUCCCGAACCAAACGGGGCUAGAAGAAUAAGAGGCAUGUAUAAUAGUCUAGCGCAUGCUUAGAUGGUCUUUAGGAUUGGACCUUCGUAGGCUGACGUGGUGGACCUUGUCCAGGGAAUAACAUUCUCGCAAGUGCCUCAUCCCUUCGAUGUGCCCCUUAUUAACGCCGCACACAUCUCUCUCCUCUCUCUAUAUACUCUCUCAGAGCGCGCACGGAACUAAAAAAAUUCCUAUAGUUAUUAUUAUUUAUCCAACCCAUCGGAAUAGGAACAAAGAAGAGAGAGAGAGAGCGCGCGCGAGCGAAACGAGGUAGAGAGAGAAAGGAAGGGAGAGAUGUUGGAGGAGAGGAAACGAACCCUAACCCUAUCUCCGAGCUUCAGGGAGGAGGAUGAAGAAGAAGAUGAGGGCGAUCGCGCGAUCUCCGCCGCCCAUCACGGCUCCCCCCAGCAGAUCUCCGCCGUUCCCGCCCUCCCGGGCGACUCCCGAGGCGAAGUCGGCGGCGGCUCCGGCGACGACGACGACUUCGAGUUCUCCUUCGCGAUCGCCGCCCCGGACUCCGCCGCCCCCGCGAUCACCGCCGACGAGAUCUUCUCCAACGGCCGGAUCCGCCCCGUCUACCCCGUCUUCGACCGCUCCCUCCUCCUCGGCGACGACGACGACGACGCCGAUCCGCCGCCCCCGUCGUCGUCCGCGGCGGCUGCAGCGACGGCGGGGCCGAGGCCGGGGGCGAGGCUGCCGCUGGGGCGGCUCCUGAUGGAGGAGCGGAACUCGUCGGUCGGGUCGAACUCCUCGUCGUCGUCGUCGGCGGCGUCGGAGCCGGGCGAGCUGGAGGGGGUCGCGCCGGAGACGUACUGCUUGUGGACGCCGGGGUCGGCGCCCAAUUCUCCGGCGCGGUGCCGGAAGAGCGGGUCGACGGGGUCGAUCGUGCGGUGGCGCCGGAUCAGCGAUCUCGUGAUCGGGCGCAGCCGCAGCGACGGGAAGGAGAAGUUCCUCUUCCUCCGAAACCCCAACCCUAACCCUAACCCCAACCCCAGCCCCGAACCCAAGGCGAAAGAGGCGAAAGAGGCGAAAGAGGCGAAGGGGAAGGAGAGGAAGGGCGGUAAGGUUACCGAGAUGGAUACGGUCACCGCCCACCGCGUAUUAUACUACGGAAAAGGCGCGAAGGGGGGUCGGAGAGCGUCGUUCCUUCCGUACAAGCAGGAUCUCGUCGGAAUAUUCGCCAAUGUGAACGGGGUUAGCCGAGCCCACCACCCUCUCUAAUUUUUGAAGGGGAAAAAAAAGAAAAAAAAAAACUUUAAAUUAUUACCCUGCUACUACUAUUAUAAUUAUUUUCCAUUUGUUUAUUAGCUGGAGAGCAUGUGGUGUCGGUGAAAGUAUACAUUUCCCUUCUUUUCUUUUUUUUUUCUUGUUUCUUUUUUUUUUUUAGGAUUCAGAUGCGUGGAAGAGACUGUUCAUAUUAGGAUCUUUUGGGCCUCAUAUAAUAAUAAUAAUAAUAAUAAUAGUGUAAUAAGGGUUUUGUAUAUAUAUAUUUGUGUGGAGUGAAUUAACUAAUCUGGGCUUUUGUGGAGUAUUAAUGAUUCGUGGAACUUGGAGUCCUCUUCUUUGUUGUAUAUGGAACUUCAUAUUGUAUUAAAAAUGGCGGCAAAUUUUGUAAUACAAUGCAUGAAUGAGUAUUGUUGCCAUAUUUUAUAUAAUUUUUUUUUUUUAAUCUUUAUAUCCUUGGCUAGCUUGUAAUAAUACAAUUUUGUUGUUUAACUUGAUAGUGUUAUUGAUUUUUAGCAAGUAUUUUUAUUAUUAUUAUUUUAACAUCAAGCAAGGCUUAUAGAUUUAUUGAUUGCUAGCGUUUGGCUAAAUCGACUGCUGAUUCUAAUAUAUAUUCUAAUGUGUUUAAAAAUAAAAAAGUGAAAUAAAGAUAACUAAAAUCAAGAAAAAUAAUAUCAGAUCAUUCUAUUUACCGUGCAUGUAAUUUUAUAAUUCGUGUUAUUCACGCGGUGAACGUAAGAUGGAGUUAUUUUUAUAAUUCGUGUGUGUCAUUCACGUGAUGGAUGUCAGUUGGAGUAAUUUCAUAUUAAAUACUGUUCCUACCAAGUUCUUGCUCAUUUUUAUUCAUUAAUUAAUAGAAGAGUGAAUUACAGUUUUGGUUCUCAAAAGUGUGAGGUGCGAAGUAUAAUUUUUAACUUGAAUUUUUAAAAUUAUUAUAAUUUAAAUCUCACUAAAUUUAAAAAAAUUUAAACUAAAAAUUAUAAUAAACUAAAAUUUAAGAGCCUAACUGUCAUCCUACUAAAAAAAAGGUGCAAUUUACUUUCAAUAAAAACAUAAAAGGUGAAACGCACCGCACAUUCUGAUCAGCCACAUGAGAUUUUAUUCCUUUUGUUAUGCCUAUGAACAGGAGUGAACACAAGAGUCAACCCUAUUCUGAACCCCAAAAACAUGCUAACUACAGCUACAUGCCAAAAAUUACAAAUAAAUAACAUAAAUAAAAGGGUGCGGUAGACCAUGACACCAUGUCGGUUCAAGGAACAGGGAAAAUUAUUUUGACUUUCACACUCUUUGGAGAACAGUUGAAUCCUCCUCCAUUUGUUCUCAUUAUUAUAGAGAAUAGAGACAACCUAAAGAUGCAGCUCAAAGAAAAUAGGUCUACAGUACCAAGUCCAUCACAAAGUCUCCUUUUUGUGCCCAAUUUUGGAUUAAACUGCAUAGAAAUCGCAACUUAGUCCCCGAACUUCUCACUUAAUUCAAACCUGACGGUCGAAAAAGAAAACGCAGGGACUAAAUCGCGAUGUAGGAUCGGUACAAGGAUUAUCGAUACAUUUUACCCUUCCAGAUGCUUUUGCCCAUCUCCUUCCUUUGAAUAUUCUAUGAGCUGAGAUGUGAAAGCUUGCCGAGCCCCCGUUUUUCACUUGGGUGAAAAAUAAGUACACAUGGAUAGUUGCAUUGCACCUAAUAUUUGGAGAUUUUGGAGUAGGUUUAUGUUGACAUUGUAACUUUCCACGCUUCAAGUCAUGUAGACUUUGUAAAUUAUGAUUUGUUAAAAUAAGCCUUUGUAACGAACUUAAUUGUCGAAGAUCGUGCACUUGAUUCUCUUCGUUCGCGAAAAUUUAACUGCGCCCUGCGUAUCAUGCAUCCGUGGAUAGAAAAAUACUUCUUUUUGUAUCGUCUGUUUGAUCUGGAAUAUCGAUCUAGGUUUUCAAAGCUUAUGUGUUUUUAAUAUGCGAGGGUUUUAAUUAAAUGAUUUGGAUUUUAAAACAUAUAUUAGCAAUCUCAUACAUCAGGGUACAACCAAUAAUUAUUUUUUUACUGGUUUUAUGACCUGAUCAAAAUGAAGAAAGAGUAAAAGAGCUGGUGAGUUAAUUCAUACUACACAGUUUUUAAGUGAGAACUAAUCAAAACCAAAGCUGUGGGUUUUACCAACAUAUGAUAAAAUAAAUUUUCUCUGUAUUUUUUUUCAGAACUUUGCUUUCUUGGAGAUCAUGUAAUCUUGGAGUACUAACAUGUGGUAGGUGUAUAAAAAUACGACAGUAACCCUUUGUCUUACUUAAUGUGCUGUAACAUGUAUUACAAUAAAAUGAUGUAUGGUCCAUAGUUUUUAUCCAGGCAUUUGCCUGUCCCCAUCCACUUCAAUCAUCCUCAGGUCAAUUUGAAGCUCCCUAUUAGUUGUCUCAAGUACUGUUUUUUCUUCUUUUUCUUUUUUUUUUCACUCUCUUUUUUAAUAACCGGGUGAUUUCUUCUUUUUUUUUUUUUUUUUGUUUAACACGUUAUGAAAGAUAAGCUUAUUUUUUUUGUUUAAAAUUAUUCUCUCCAGCUACGACAGUUGGGCCUUCUCUACUAAUUACAACUGCAGCAGUUGAACACAAAUCUAUAAAAUUAAAUACUGAAUCUUGAUCUACAUGAAAUUACAACCACAGUACAGUUUCAAGUGAUUGCAGCCCAAUAGCCUUUAAAAGUAGAGCAUAUAGGAAAGGGGAAAAAAAAAUCUAACGGAAACUUAAAAUGCACAACAUCUGCUUAAAAAAUAUAGAAAAAUUUUCAAAUACCACCCCUGUGGUUUCAUACUUUCUCACUUUAGUGCCCUGUGGUUUAAAGUGUAUCAAUUUAAUAUUCUGUAAUUUUAUUUUUAUCUUUUUAUUAUCGAUUUCACUAAUUUUUUUUAUUUAAUCAGUAACAAAGUUAAAACUAAAAGAUAUUAAAAUGAAUAUUCGAUAAACCUAGGUGAGGUAUCUGAAGUUUUUUUUUAUAUAAUUUAACAAAAUAUUAACGGAGAAGCUAACGAAAAGAUAAAAAUAAAAUCAUAUGACAUUAACUUGAUACACUUUAAACUAUAGAAUACUAAAGUGAAAAAGUACGAAACCACGGGUGGUAUUUGAAGUUUACCCAGAAAAAUAUACACAGAAAAAAAAAACGGGUGGUAUUUGAAGUUUACCCAGAAAAAUAUACACAGAAAAAAAAAAAAAACUGCCCUGUUUCUUUUCUUAAAUCAAUUCAUUGUUCAUUGUCGACUAGUCCCCUGGAAAGCACCAAAAGAGCAAUCAAUUUGAUAAGAAAUGGAAACAAGAUAGAAAUGGAGACAAGCAGGAGAGCAUACAAUGCACCAUCAUUUUCAGUUUAAGAGGUAACUCUUGCUGAUUAAAUUAAAUACGCAACUAAAACAUUAUAUCAUAAACAGUCCAAAAUUAUAUCAUAAAGAGUCCAGUAACUUUUUAUAGAGAUAACACAUCGUAGUCUCUGAUCUCUUACUACCGCAAAUUAAACCACUGUUAUUGCACAGCUUCCUAACAGCAUCCCUGUUUUCGUCGACUAGAAGAUGCUAUUUAUUAGCAGACCACUACCUCCACAUCACUUAAGUUUUCACAAUUCUAAGUCAAGCUAAAGAAACAAAAUUAUACAUAUCUUUAGAACAGAAAAUAGGAUUACUAUGUACACAACUCUCUAACUGAUCAACCCAAAGGGAACAGAAACAAACUUGAGCGUACAGAAAACUAUAAAUAGAUAUGCAUCAGUCAGACGUGAUAACAUCUACCGUGGGGAAGACGAGCGGAGGUCGAUAAUCUCCAACCGCAAAUUAUGGUUAAUGUAGAUGUUGCUGCAGCAUUCGAAAAGAGGGCUUCCAUCAGAAGUAUCCGGGUGUGAAUGAAACCCGCUUUCCUUGCACUCUUUUAAAAUGGCAAUCCCUCCAGGGUUUGUUAGCCGGAAUAUUCCAUAGUUCCUGCAGGGGUUUCAAAGAAAAUAAGAUCAUCAAAUAUUCUCAUCCAUUGUUCAUUUUUAGACAUGGAAGUUUGUCUAUCGAGAAAACUAGAGUGCACCGAUUAAAAGUCGAAUUUUCUGAACCUAUACAGAUAAGCACAUUCUUGAAGGGUGAUCUAGAGAGGAUGUUAGAAAAGGUUGAAGACCUUGAUCUUUAAAAUGCAUGUACGGUAUUUGGACUACUAAGAUUUGCAACUCAGAUUAUAAAAGAAAAGCAUCAUAUUAAGUAUCGGUUUCGACCAUACUAGAGAGCAGCUUCUCCACUCCAAGAAGCAGUAGUCAUGCAUUUGGCGACUAGUACGUUCAAAGGUUUUGCUACAGCAGAUCAAGCUCCAUGUCAAAAAUUUUGUUUACGUAAUAAUAAAAGGCCGCUGAGGGAUACUAGCGAAAAUUUUAUGGUUUUUUGAACUGCUUUACUCAGGACGAAACAAUACAAGUAGACUUAUUUUGUUCUGAGUACACAUUUUUCACAUCUACAUAUCAAGAGGGAAGAUGGGAAUCAACAUGCAUUGAAAUGUCCCAAUCUCUUUUUUGUUUUCUUUUUUUUAUAAUUGACUAGGGUCUCACAAGGCUUUCAUAAUGUACAGAUCCUUAAAGUGAGGAGAAAUCCCUUGCCUUGUGGAAUCAGUUGGAGCCAUGACAAUCGCAACAGCCUCUGGUAGCAUGACCUGUGACAGAUAUGAAAGUACAUACAAAACCCGAUAAGGUGAGCAGAUAGCUCUUGACAAGAUGCAACAUCAACUUCUAGACUUGCAACGAUUAUGCUCGCAGCAGAGCAUCGUCUUGCUUUUGCAAUAGCAAAGAGAUGAUAGGGAAGAAGGCAAUUCUUUAUUUGUUGAAAACAUCCUGCGUAGAAAUAGUAUAAUUGUAAUUUUUGUCUCGAAAAGAGAAUAACAACCAACGUUCCAAAACCUGGUAAGGGUAUUGCGUGUGCAAAUCGAUUGACGAUAGGAAGCAUGUCUGAGAGGGAUGCGUCUGAAACAACAGAGGAAAAAAAAAUGUUCAGAAAAAUGAACAUAGAACUGAAAGGUACCAUUGAUAUUUUCCACAAUUAUGGCAAAAGGCACCCAAUCUGCAAUAUAAAAGUAGAAAAGCAUAAAACUAGUAGUGUUAUCUUUAAACAUUUGCUUCACAUGGAAUGAAAGAAAAAAAGAAAAACCUUGGUUGGGUGCAUCUAAGUAAAUGGAUGUAUCCACGAUGGAAUUAAUGUAAUCUUGUGUUAAUACUUAAUAGUCAUGUAUAUGUAGUUAUAGUUAACACAUACCUCUGUACAUGUCACAGACUCACAAUCUGAAACAAAGUCAGAAUAUAGUGUCGUACUAAGUUUGUUCGCUAGCAUCAGUGAGUGUCUUAUGUUCUUUCGCCAAAAAUAAAAAGUCAAAACAUGGUUUGAUUAGUCAAAAAUAAUAUGCCCAAGUCGACAAUAAUUGUUUAUUACGACAAAAGCGGAAAAAAUCUAGUUCGCCAGGUGCAAAAAUAUGAAAAAAAAAAAAAUUAAGAAAGAAGAAAAAUAAAGCACACAAAUAUUUACGCAGUUUGGUUGCUGACCUACGUCCACGAGCGAAGAUAGAGCAGAGACUUAAAUUAAAGCCAAUGUGGUGUACAAAAGAUGUCUCUUUCACAAAACUUUAGUUACAAAAUACAUCCUAUAUUCUCUCUCAUGCCCCGCACUAAAUUAAUGGAACAAAGGGUAUAUUUACAUUAGUGACUAAAAUCCAAUAAGACUAAAAAUAAUCUCAAUAAAACUAGGCAUAUUUAACUUUAAUAGGUUGACCAAAACAGAAUAGGUUAAGAAACCUAACGGUUUAAGAAUUCGAGACAUAUAUAACAUUGUUCAACUUCUACUAGCCGUAAGCCCCAUUGCUCACAAUUGUUUGUCAGACCUCUAUUGGAGCAUAGAACAAUUCUACAAGAUACAUUCGACAAUAUCAGUUUGCUCUCUUCUCUAUGACUUAAGCCAAUCCUUCUCAAUUCAACAUGAGAAAACACAAAAUCAUCAGUUUAUAUGGUUUGCCACCGAUAACAGUCCCUGCGCACUUGUACUAAACCACAUCCUCCCAUUAUCCGCUUCAAUGCUUUAAAAUUUUAACAUCCCACUGAAAAUAGAAUAUUUGAGAUAUCAUAUACAAAACCUUCCUAAUGACAGUGCAAAUUUACAUGACAUUUCAUACCUUUCUGAACUAGCAAAGAUUUGCCAAUCAAUAAGACUUCAUUAUCCUUUUCAUAUAAAAUCAGACCACAUUAAUUGAGCAUCAUUAAGAACUAGCUUCUAAUCCAUAAAUAUCAUGUCAGGGACUCGAAAAGAAUUACUAAGCAAGUUCACACAGUAAUGACUAGCGAAAAGGCCAAAUGUAGAAAUUGGAGAGCUCAAUAUUGGGAUAUUUACAUGUAUCCAUCCUGCAGGAAAGAGAGAUUCGCCAUCCAGUAUUGCAUGUAUCUCCUCCUCAUUUAAUGCCUGGCACUGCCAUUUAGUACAAGAACUGUAAUUGCUCGGACAUUUAUGGGCAAAAUGGGGGCGAAAAAAAAGAGAAACUGAUGAGAAAUAAUUUCAAGAACAUUCAAGACAAAAUAGCUCAGAAUAUUAUGAAUACCGACAUACUGAAUGGGCAGUUGUUUCUUGCUUUGGUAUUAUUAGGGUAGUUACAUAGAAUGUUCCAUUCUUCUGCAAGACAACCGAAAUAUAUGUUUGAAAUAUUGCACACUUGAGAACCAGGACUAUGAGAAAAAGUAAUAAUCUUCAGUUUCUUACAAGGAAAGCACCAAGAACCCCACAAGUCUCCAGAUUCUGGCUUGUAUUAUCUCCGGCAAGUACCAUAAAUUCUUCCAUCAAUCUUGCCGACUGAAAAAUAAAUAGACAGUUACAAUAUAUUGAUUCAAGGGCCAAAGUUUCAUGCUGAUAUGGAAAACUUCAAACUAGCCAGCUUCUGUAUUGCUCACCAUAAGUUGUAAAGCAUUAAUAUGCAGUGAUUGAAGAGAACAAUGGCCUGUUUGGCCUGGCUAGAGGUUCUGCAAAAGUGCAGUUGAGUACAGCUAUUUGAAAAGGCACUAAGUAGUCUAUUUGGGCCCACUUUUGCUCUUGCUUUCAACUGCAACCACCUCUAGUAGAAUACUUGGCAAACAAAAGAAUGCAGAACUUUUGUUGCGGAUGGAAGUAGAAUUUCGAGCCCCAAAAGCAAAAGCUCCAAUUCGGAGCUUCAAAUUCUACUAACAUAGAGAACAUUAUGAGGGGAUUAUAAUGAAUGCUUCGCCUAAUAGCUAAACUCAAUUAGCAUUUCAACGAACAGCAGUACCAUACAAGAGAACUAAACAAACCCUAACAGCUUUUUCACUCGGCAACGUCACUUCCAGCAUAAGCAGAAGAUUUAAAUUGUUUCUUCUACUUUUGGGGGGUCCAAAAGCUCAUUUAGCUUCUCGCCACAUCAAAAACUUCAAAUAUAUAUUAUUCGCACAGCCAUCCAUCUGUUGCUUCCCAGGUUGCAGAGGCGGUUCUGGAAGGCAAGCCAAUCAAUUACUAGAAUAAAUGUAAUAAACGACCACACUCACUAUAUGCAUAUCACGAAGAGCACUGGAAUUUGAGGACUCGGCAGAUGAAGUUUCCAAAUACUCAUUUCUCGAUUCAGGUUGAAUGACAAGGGAAACACGGCCAACAGGUGGGAAGUCCUCUAUACAGGAAUCAAUCGGAGGAUAGUGGUGCUUAACAGCAUAAACACAGAUAUCACGAUCUCUUGCCAUUGUAACAGCCACUUGAAAGGGAGUCUCUGUUUGUGUACAACAAGCCUUGGCAUCAGCUGCUGAAUUCGGUGACACCUCGACAUUAUCCGUGCUUGUAGUGUUCUCAAAACUGCCAUUGUUUUGCAAUAUAUGAGUAAUUGGUAUCCAUCCGUAUGGAUCGCAUUCCAAAUACAUAUAAAUGGCAGCCACAUAGAUUUAGUUUAAUUCAGCAGAAAAAGGAUAUUCUACCGUUUACUCUGUUUUCUCCUUGAACGGCAACGCAGCACCUGUAAACAACGCUAUAUUAGCACAUAGAACUCACGACAAAAUCAAAAGUCAAUACCAGAAGAAAAAAAACUGCUCUUUCUGAUAUUUAUUAUGAUAACAGUCGCGAUAAAACACAAAAAGAAAGCGAUAAUGAAACAAAGCUAUCACCUUGAAAAUACCUCCCUCUACUUUAAUAUCACUACAGUUUCCUUUUAUACUAUCAGGCUAUGCUAAGAUCAUUCUUCUAUCAUUGAAAUAACAAAAACACCAAAAAAAAAGUUGCUGUUCAGUUUCAUCAUUCCUUUUAUCGAAGCUUCAGCUUUCAACUUCUUUAGUAACAUCUUUUGUAGUCUAUUCCGAUGAUAACGGAGCAGCAGAUCAGAUUGAAGAGAACUAAUGUUUUGAAUGAAUGAAACAUCAUCUACGAAAAAAAAAAAAAAAAGAAGUAGAUUUCCCGAAAGACUGAUCAAAUAUAUGGAAUAACUUGUCUUGAAUGGGAAUAUUCUUUGAUAAUAAUUAUAAUAAUAAUAACAACAAAAGCGAUUGCAUUCCACCUAGUUAUUCUAGCAUCCAAAGAAGCGUUUAAUAUAAAAAUAAAAUAAAAUAAAAAGAAGCAAAAUUAGGCCCAGUAAAUCAGUUCUUCUAGUGAGCUUUGAUGCUUCGCAGUUAUCUCAAACUUAAAAAAUAACUCUUCACAGAAGCUCUUUUGUUCAUACAUCAUCCUAGCAAAAUUUGGGGUAAUCCAAAACCAAUUUCUAAUUCUAAUUUCUAAAUAAUCCUAAGCAGAGCUCAACUGAUAGUUGACUAAUUUAGGAAUAUGCUCUAAAAUCGCCCUCCCAAAACAAAAAACAAAAAAAAAAAAGAGAGACUCUAAUGAGAUCAUAAGAAAAUGAAAGAUUACCUUACUGUUGAACACCAUUUAAAUUCCCACUUCAACUUCUCCUUAUAUUUGGACCAAAUAUAUGAGUGGAAAAUUGAAAGAGGAAAGAAGGGUUGGGUUAGUAGAUGAUCAUGGAUAAAAGUUUGAGAGAUGUUGAUCAGUUUUGUAAAAGGAAAGGGCGGAUGUAAAGAAGGGAUAAGGAGGCGGUGUUUGUUUUAAGGGCGAAGACGACGACGACAACGCCGCCGCAAAGUCGGCCCAGAUGUGCUGCACAUGACGAUGGAUUUUAUGAAGUGGGCCGUCCUGCGUGGCCAGGGUUGCGUCGAAUGGACGGACAAAAUUUGAGUGUGGAGCCUCCCAGUCUCGGCGCAUUCAGCUGCUAUUAUUAUAUAGUUAGCCUGUGUUAUUGACUUUAUUUAUAAAUAAAUUUAACUGAAAAUAUGAAUUAAUUAGGGUUGAAACUUUGAGGCCUCGGAUGUCAACCACCAAAUCCUUUGUCGCUUGCGCUAUGGACGGUCGAUUCAGCCUAUUAUAUUCUUAUAUGCGCAACCGACUUGGUAUUUAUAAAUUAGUUUUAAUAAUAAAAUUUUUAAAUCCACGAUUCAUAUUAUUAAGACUUCGUUUAGAAUUGCGUAGAUAUUAUAUUACAUGUUGUGAGAAAGUAGAUGAAAAAAUAUUCGUUUGUUUUCGUACAUAAUAUUACAUUCCACAUAUCCUGAUGAGUAAAACAAAAGCAUAAUCCUGUAUGCUUUUAUCUCAAUUUUAUUUUAUUUAAUAACAUCAAAUAGACCUCGGUACCAAACUAAGCAUCAAUAUGAGUUAGAGCAUUUGAAACUUAUAGAAAUUAAAUUUUAUAAUUUUUUUGAUAUUAUUUACUUUAUGAUCAAACGAUUUGAAAAUUGAUAAAUAAUCCGAUCCUCUAAAAACAUUGGUCAAUUUUGACUGUUUAUUUUAUACCAGCUUGAUAAACUUUAUUAUAAUUUCGAAAUUUUGUUUUCUAUAAGUUUCAAAUGCUCUAUAUCAUAUUUGUGAAUAUGGAUUGUCGAUUCGAAUUUUUUUUUUUUUUAGAAAAAGAUAGCAUGCUAUCCGCUUUGUUUAUCUUUUUUAAAAAUAAAUUUAGCUGGAAAUGUAAAUCAACUAGAAUUCAAACUUAGAUCUUGGGUACCAACCAUCAAGUUCUUUGCCACUUGCGCUGGAACAGUGAGUGAAAAUUUUAUUAUUGAAAACAACAAUGAUAAAGGCUUCUAUAUACAUAAGAGUAUGUAACCUUAUUUAUAUUAAUUUUAUCUCUAUCUAAAAGUUUAGUAAAUAUUUUUUAUACUAAAUUUUUAAAAAAAAUUAAAUUUUUAAAAAAUAUUAUAAUAUUUGAAUAGAGAUAAAAAAGGGCCGAUAAAAAAAGGGUAUCUAGUGAAACUUUUUUUUUUUUUAACCCAAAAGCACUGGGCUUCGGUGUUGCUCCCUCGUGCUUGUUUCAGUAUCGGGGUGUUAAACGGGCCCACGUCACGCCAGCGCAUGGUCCCUUUAAUUGUUUAUAAUAAUUUUUUUAUUUUAAUAUUAAUUAAAGUUAUCCAAAUUUUGAAUAAUUAUUCUUUUUCAAACUUAUUCAGUCAUUAGAUAACUACAUAUAUAAUAUAAAAUUAUUAAAUAAUUAAAAAAUUAAAAUGAUUUUUUGAAAAAAAAUAUUUGUGCCGGUCCCCCGGAUUUGAAAAAAACGACAAAACACAAUACAAUAAAAAUCAGUGUCAUACUAAGCAAACCUCCAAAUAUGUUUGGCACAAAUGAAUAUACGCCAUGUCCGCCUCCUAUGCUUAUAUUUUUGGAGGUAGUCAUAAGAUGAAUCAUGAACGCACACGUGGAUGGAUAAAAUCUUUACAAGAGUAUUGAUUUUGUUUUCUCGGAUGUUGUUUUUACAAAUAGUUAAUAUCUCACAAAAACGAGGAUAUUUUGUUUUCUAGGAUGUUGCUUUUAUUCAACUCAAACUCCUUUGUAUGCACCCUCAAUGCACAGUUGGCACACUUAGUUCUCAAAUAUGUUGAGAAAUAGAGUAAUUUAAGGCCAUAGAAAGAGUAAAAGAUACAGCAAUUUGGCCCCAUAACGAUCCUCUAAUCACAUUAUCAAAUUACAGAACAACAAUAUGUUUGCAGUCCAACGGGCAUUCAAGGGUGUAUAGUUACUAUUAAAGCAAAAGGUAAUGAAGCUACGCAGAAAACAAAUACUGAGUAUUAGCUUCUGAGAUUGUAACGAAAGAUUUCGCCACUUCACCUUCGAAAUACUGAGUAUUAGCUUCUGAGAUUGUAACGAAAGAUUUCGCCACUUCACCUUCGAUGGAGCCAAACAUAAAAGGUACACAGUUCUGCAGUUUCCUCCACCAAAUUACACAAUGUUGUUCAUGUCCUUCAUCUUGUUGAUUAGCUCGUAAGAACUGUGUCACUAAUCACCCAUAUGAACAGACCUAUUUGACUUAUUCUUGUUUUCCCCAGCAUUAGUUAUGAAUAUUCAAGCUAUUACAUGUCAACCUUGCACGACUUUCCUCCAUUCAAACUUCCACAUCAACUUCCUUUUCAUCUGACCCGACAACGAGAUCGGAUGCUGUGUCCUUUUGAUCACUACCAUUCAAAAGAAGAUGUGCACUCUCAUCGCUUAACUGCUGCUUUUGAACAGGCGAGUCUGGUUCUCUGAUAGCAAUCGCAGCUUCUUGCUUCAGCAGUUCCGGUGGCUGAGGAGGCUUCCAGCUUCUGUUAAGCCGCUCAAGGGAUCCCGUUGCAGAAGGUAACCACUUUGGUUCCGCUACUUGAGGUUCGGCCUCUGUACCAUUUUCGGCCUUAUGUCUCCGCCAUGGCUCUGAAUUGUCAAAUGACCCAGUAAUCGGAAUUGAUCUAUUUCCUCGAGCCUCAAAAUUCAAUCCUUGGCCAUUGAAUUGGGGUUUAGGAACAUAACUAGAGUUUGAUUGCUGUUGCUGCAUGACUUCCCACGGCUGUAUUACCAACAAAGUUAACAAGUAAUCAGCACUUUAAUUUUGGCAUGCGCAAGAAUGUAACCUGACUCACUAGUUUUCCUUUGUACUAAUAUUUGGAUAGAAUUUUUGUAAACAGGUACAGCUCAAAUAUACAAUUACUUGCUUAUAUGCCCAAUUAUUGUUAUAGUUUCCAUCUAUGUCAUGUGAAAUAUUCUGUGCAAUAAAACAAAAAUAUUCUGAGCAAUAGAACAAAUACUGUUCAUGUUACGAGGCAAACCGAUUGCUAUAAUAAUGAAGCUUCUUUGCAAAAGUAUCUACAAAAUGCUGCGCAUGUGACAUCUUAACAAGGGGCAUUUAACUCAAGUCGCAUUUUAGAGGAGUAAACGCACGCACAUGUUUUGAGGUGGUAUUUGUGCAAAAAAUCAUAGAUUGCACCUAGAUCAAGAUUUGACUGCAUUGUUGUGUACAAUUUGCUUUUAAUUAUGGAAAUGAAAAAUGACUGUUAUAUAUGUAGGCUCAUUUGAAAGGAAGAAUUCUGAAAUAUCCAUUUAGUCUGCAAAAACCAUUUGUUAGUUAACCUAAAUAAGCAAGCAUGACUAACACUGCAAGAUUUCGACCAAUGCAUGCCUCACUUACAAUAAUAUGUCAACUUAAAUAUUAACCACCAAUCUUGAUCCAUUCUUUAUGAAUUCUCCUUAAAAAUCCAUGUAUUACCAGCAAAAUUUUGUUGAACAUUUGGACAACACAAGUAAAAAAAAAAAAAAAACAUUAUGUUUUGAAUAAGAUUUUCUACAUGCAAACAAAAAGGAAACUACUCAGAGAAAGCAUUUGAAGUCCAUACCUUUGGUCUAGGAGCGAGAAGAGGUUUUGGUAUUGGCUGAUCGGGAUUAGGGGGCAUGUCAUUAAUUUCCUGUUCAUCAAGUUAAAGGAUUAGAGAGGGGGAUGGGGGGGGGGGACUAGGUGAAACCAAAAUCAUAAACAAUGAAAAGUAGUGUUUAACCCCUAGUUAAAUAGCCCACCUUAAUAUUAGGUGGUUUCUCCCCUCUUUGAACCAUUUCUAUGAUCUGCAUGUUAGAGUCUGAUAAUUAGUAUUUACAAGAGAAUGAAAAGCACUAUCUAAAAGCUUUGCAUGGGUUCCCCUUCACAAUGACGGUAUUUAGACAAGAACGGAAAUAAGCUAAUUAAGAGAGAAACUUACCUCCAUAUAUGACUUUGGGUGCGGUGGAUCGAUAGAUGCAAGCGAAGAUGAAGGCCUCACUGUGUAAAAGAAUUUGUGGGAAGAAAAAUAAAAUUUAAUACAGCAUCAGUUAAAUAAGCACUAGAUUUAGAAUGUAACCUGAAUGAGAGUCCGUCUUAUUUGUGUUAUUUAUGCCAUUUACUUUCUCUUGCUGCUAGAAAGAAAAAUUGAACCAGUGUAAAACUUGCUCAGUACUAAUAUAAGAGUUACAGACAAAAGAGACACAGACACAUAAAUCAUAAUGCAACAGGAAAAAGAGUUAUUUACCUUGUUAAAUGAAAUGCUUAAAUUCGAUUGACUGGCCUCAGAUAUUCCCUGAGAACUAUUAGUUGUCCCUGCAAAUGCAAAGAAGUUCCUUUUAAAGCUUAAAUAUGGAAUAAAAUAAGUAUGUAGUUGUACUGAUUGGCAUUGAUAGUUUGCUUUCUGCAUCCCUUGCUUCUUCGAAAAAAGAAAAAAUAAAUAAAAAUAAAAAAGUAUAAUAUUAGAUAUGGUUUAUGAACAGUGAUACACAUGAAAAAUUGAUAUUUACAUAAGGUAUUAUUUGCCUAACACACAGGAAACAUAAAUAUUUAUGUUAAUUUUUACACACUAAUUUGUUGAUGUGUUCAAACAGUAUUUAGUUUGUCUGUAUCAAUAGAUACUUAAAGCAUUUGUCAUCUCUUUAUCAACAGAUACUGAAAGCAUUUACCAACUACUAGUACACUAAGGGUGUGUUUGGUUUGAUGUAAAAAUAGGUUGAAUAUAUUUUUUUCGGUCCGAAAAUAGUUUUUGGAUCGUUUGGUUCGAUAUAAAAAAAAUUUCGGCAAAAAACACUCUUACAUAUUUUGGGAAAAAGUCCUAUUUUCGUUUUCCACAUGAAAGCGGCAGAAAACAAAAAUGAAGGAGGCAAAAUUACGCGGCUCAUGGCAAUAGUCUUGUGGGGUCCACGAGCUGAAAUGGCCUCGUGGACCGCGUGAGAGGGAGGUCCAAGGAGGACCUCUCUCUCUAUGUAUAUGUACAUAUACAUAUACAUAUGUACAUGUAUAAUUUUAUUUAUAAAUAUAUAUUUAUUUAUUAUAUAUACAGAGUAUUUUAUUUUUUUAUAGAGAUAUUAUUAUAUAUUAUUUUAUUUUUAAAUAUAUAAUGAUUUAUUAAUACCCUUAAAUAUAUAACUAGUAUAUAUUAUAUUAUAUGCUUAUUAUAUAAUAUAAUUGUAAAUAUAUUUAAUUUACAAACAUAAAUUAUAAUAUAUAUAUAUAGUAAUUGUUAUAUAUAAUUAAUCUAUAUAAUAAAACAUUAUAUUAAAUAGUUUUUUAUCCAUUUUCCUUCUUCUUUCGUUUCUUUUCAAUCAAACAACCGUUAUGAAAAACUAUUUUUCUUUUCCUACAAACCUAACACUAAAGAGCGUAAAAUUUGUUUUCCUCCGAAAAAAUUUUUUCCACCGAAAUUUUUUUCACAGUUUUACGUGGAACCAAACAGCUCCUAAGCUAUGUUAAAAAAAAUUAACAGCAAAUAUUAAGUUAUUAACAGCAAGACAGCAAGACGUCAUAGAAAAACCAAUUUGUCACUGUAAUGCAGCAACUAUUUUAAUGUUCGUUCUAUUUUUUUAAUAAUGGAAUACUAUUCGAUAACAAUUUGCUACCCACAGGGAGUGCCAAGAGGUGUGAUUUCCUUUAAUGAGUUGUUUAAAACAAAAGCAUGGAAGUUUUUAGAAUAAUUUGCAAGGGAGGAGGAGCAUUUCAAAUCCAUUGACUUACUGUUCCGUAGUUUAGACUGAUCAUACUCUCCUAUUUGCUUGUCCUGUGAGUUUACUAUUUCUUUUGAAUUCUCCAGAGUACGGAGAGCAUUGCCCAUCAUCUUCAUCUCUUCCACUUGAGCAUCUAGUUUUUCCACAAAAUCCUCAAAGAACUUCCUCUCUGUAAUAUUGGAAAACAGGUUGACAAAAUAUGGGAGCCGACUAAUAAUAUCAAUGAAAGAAAGUUCCGAAAAAAAAAAACCUUCAUUUUUUGCAUUCAGGAGCUCUUGACUAGCUGUUGCCACAACAGCAGCAGCAGAGGCAGCUUCUUUUGCAGCCUCUACUGCUUCUUCAGCUAGGGCUGGUCUCGGUUUCUUGUACUUCUCUAUUUCAUAUUCUUCUUCUACAACCUUCCUGAUCCAAGAUUUCAAUCUAGGAAUUGCUGCAUUCUGUAAAGAAUAUUAAUGCAUCAGAAAAUGCAGAAAAAAUUGGUGAGAUCAAUACAUUUUAAACGCAAUAAAUAACAUGAUGAGAACUUCUGAAGCAUCAAAUAAGUUCGCAUUGUAUUAGUGCCUGUUUGUGCUAGCUUCUAGAGUAGCUUCUCUAUUCUGAAAAGCAGUAACUAAAUAUUUUGCAAAUUAAAAAGGUCUGAACUACUCAAAUGAGGCUAGAACUUCUACUUACGCUGAAGUGCAAGCUGUUCAGGAGGAUUCUUAGAAACCUACACUUAACAGUAUUUCUGCAGAAUCUCAUGACAGCCCUGACAGGCCUUUAGUAAUGUAAAAAGGACCAAGAAUCAAACUGAUACCUUAAAAAGCACGGAUGCUGCCGCUCCUGAAGCGGCAAGUAACCCAAUAGAAAGAAAAGCUUGGGACCAGUGGAACCUAGAUUGCCGUACGCUUGGGACUGCUGCAAGAGCAUCACGAGGAGCAUAUACAAGUUGCUGGCUCUGAGUAGGAACUACAGGCUCCACGGAUGAGCUUGGUUGGAUAACUGUUCUCAGCAAGACAAAGUAUUAUAAACAAAAAGGAAAGAAAACCAGAUACUGAAGGCCAAACUGCCAACCACUUAUAGCCAUUUCAAAAACACUUCUGCAAUCAAAUUACACUAAUAUAUCUUUAGCUAGCGAGCCCAGCGCACAAAGUUUUUGACCUCUCGGUGGUUACAAUAUCAUUGCAUUAAGUGUAGACUAGACUAAUCUACACUAUCAUGGUCUCCUUUUGACAUAUUUAUCUCAAUUAUUGUCAUCAGUAAGAAGGCUGUGUACAUUGUCAUCCACUAAUGUCCUCUAUAGGAUGAUAUCAUGAACAAUGCACGUGUAUCCUCAUGAACUACAAAAUCAGAAAUGAUUCAAAAAAUAAUAAUAUUAAUUAUAACCAAUGAAUCGAGAGAGGCACAGGACGAUAGGGGGGCAGACUGAGCAAGUAUGAAAAAUUAGCCUGGAAGAUUUUCUUAAAGUAAAGCAACGCCCGGUACGGGAGGUCAAACAUCAUUAUUUUAACAACAAAAUUUUAUGCACACAGAAAUUUCAUGCAUGUCAAAAUCAUACGGAAAAGGCAAAGUGCAUUUUCUCACUGAAAAAGCAAAUGAAGGUUUACUGGAAAUUACUGUACCAUGAUUCAUCGCUGUAGCUUCAGCACUUGUAGCAUUUGAAGGUGGAUCCUGUAGAAACUGCAAAUCUUUACGAACCUCAAAUAAAAUGAUUUGGGUCUUCAGUAGAACAGAGUCAGAAACAAAAAAAAAAUCUGGAAAACAAAAUCAUACAGGGACACGACGAAAGGCUUCAUCAAUUUCCUCCCUUGUUAAUCCUUUCCUCUCAAGGAAUGAACGCUUAUAAAUGACCAGGGAACCCCUCACUUUUGGGUGCGACAAAAAAUUAACAGCAUUUUGCACUUGAUCCUCCCUUAUUGGUUCGGAAAUAGCAAAAACUGAUUUUUGUGCACCAAUGUCUUCCUUAGCUUCGUGUUGCUCUUCAUCCACAAGAUUGGACCCUUCAGGCCCUAAAUUAAAACAAGAAAUUUUCUAUUUGAACGAGACAAUUUUAUUACCAGCAGAACCAACAAAGACUCUAUUAUUAACUAACAUGGUCAGGCCACCUUAAAACUACUAAUAUAUUCAGAAAGAUAAAUGAUUUAUGCUUCAGCAAUAUGACAGCAACAAUCUACAACUACAUAAACAUCAUCGCACGGGUGCACACGCACAGAGGUUAAAAACAGGACGAAGAGGUGAUUCUAAUUCUGUAUGUUUUCACAUCCAAAUUUGUGUGAAUUAAUAGUAAAACAACUUAAGUAAAACCAUUUGCACUCUCCUUCUCCUUCUUAAUUUUCUUAUUCUCGUUCUUUCGAAGUGGUUUGCUUUUAUGUUUCAAUUAACACUUUCAUUGUCAUGCUUCAGCACAUAAAAUCGUUUCAUUUUCAUUAAAGCAAGUGUAGGAGUCGGUCUAAUUAAUUUCUCACAUGAGGACCGAUGUUUAAUCUCGAACAUUAAGAACUCGUGGAAGGAAAACAUCGCGUACAAAAUCAGCAAAAUUUGACAAAACCAACUCUAAGUAUUUUACUUCUUUUGAUUCUCCAAAAAACACAACACAAUUCAUCAGUUCAUCAAACAAGGACUCCAAGCUAAUUCAUUUAUUGCAAAUUUAAUCGAUUGAAAUAACAUAAAUCAAACGUAUCAGGCCUUGUACACUUUUACCCUAAAAGAAUCUCCAAUUCGUGAAGCGCGAAUUCAUCAACCUAUGAAGGAACGGUUCAUAAUAACCAAUUAAUCUACUGAAUUUAUCUAAUUGCAACAAUAAUCAAAAGUAAGAAAUGGAAGAUUACAUUGAAUUAUUCAUCAAACCCUCAACAUAAUUAGGUCAACAACAAAGGGAAAACGAUUGUUAACGAGAGAAAAAAAGAAAAACCAGGGUUUUGGGAUUCAUCGAUGGGAUUAGAAGGAGAAGCCACGGGUUGGUUCGCCAUUUUCGCACUUCCCCCAACUCCGCACCGGAUCCUCUCGCUCAAAGAUAGAGCACAAGAGAGGAUUCAAUUGCAAUGAGUAGCAGAACGAGAGAGAGAGAGAGAGAGAGAGAGAGAGAGAGUGAAUUUAUUGGAGAGAAAAAGAUCAAAACGCCGUAUACGCACAGCUCGAGAGAAGAGAAAAUUUUCCCAGGUGUUAAUCCAUUAAAUUAAGGCCAAUUUGCAUAAAAAAUCCACUUAUUUUGGGCUUUUGUAAAAUUGGGUCACCCUUUUCGUUUUUGCAAAUUCGGUCCGCUUUUUCAGCAAACUGACCAAAAUACCCUUAUUACUUUUUCUCUUUCCUCUUUCUCUCUCCUCUUCGUUCUCUCGUUCUUUUUUUUUUCGCCGAAAAAAAAUAGCGAAGGCCAGGCGGGCGCGCCGCCGGAGCACCGCCAGGCGGGCUCUUCUUCUUCUUCUUCUUCUUCCUGCAGGACCAAUUUUUUUUCUCUUUUUCUUUUUCUUCUACUUUUUCCUCCUGCUGGAGCUUUUUUUAUUUUUCCCUCUUCUUCUUCUUCUUCUUCCUCCCGCUCCGGCCCCGCGCCGCCCCUCGNCGCGGCGCGUGCCGUAGACCCACUCGCGGCGCGCGGGAUCGAGGUCGUGGGCGCGGCCGAAGAAGCCGACGAGGGGUGGCGCGGGGCCGGAGCGAAAAAAAAAAGAACGAGAGAACGAAGAGGAGAGAGAAAGAGGAAAGAGAAAAAGUAAUAAGGGUAUUUUGGUCAGUUUGCUGAAAAUGCGGACCGAAUUUGUAAAAACGAAAAAGAUGACCCGGUUUUGCAAAAGCCCAAAAUAAGUGGAUUUUUUAUGCAAAUUGGCCUUAAAUUAAUUGCUGUAGAAUUUUAAUCUAGAAUAAAAUUAGAAGCACAAGUCCAUCCCAUUACUAGUUACUACUCAUAAUUGUUGACUUUUAAUUCAUAUAAAAAAAUAAUAAUAAUAAUUUCAUUACGUAACAGGCCCAAUAUAUUAGCUAUGCCAUUCCAUUGACAAAGGAGAAGCCAAACUCUUCUCGGACUUUAUACCAAAUAGGCCCUAAGUUAUAUGUAGGGCCGUAGAGGGAACUAAUGGACCGAGACUAGGCCCAUGGCAGUUUUCGAACUAGUAAUAGGCCGGGUCUGGGCCUUUAGUACUUUUUGGGCCUUUAGUUGCUAGAGACAAUAUGCCAAAUAUAUAUAUAUACAGUAGAUUUGGAUAUCUUUAUGUUUCCUCAAUCCUCAAAUGUAUUGUCUCAAUUAGCACCUGUUGUAUAAGAAGGUAACGGGAGAGCGCGUCGGCACGCGCAAUGUCGAUCCCCGCGAUGAAAUGGUUUAGGCACGCGGCGUCUUUCUCUGGAUUGAACAAAAGUUGUACUUCAAAUCCACCAUUGUUGUUUCCAGCUCUAGUUUCUCCUCGACUUGUCAACAGGUCUCCGAUCUUUGCUUCUCGACUUUUAAUCAGGUUGAUCAACCCUAUUCAAUACAGAAAAUGACUGAAGCUCAGUUCGAAAUCACGCUUAGUGAACUUUUUUUUUUUUUUUCCAUAUUUAAGUCAGGGUCUAAGUCCAGAUCCAGAUGCUAAGAUUUGGAGAAACAGUUCAUUGAACACAAUUCUAAUAAUCCUAAUAAAUAAGCGGUGUUUUUCAUUAAAAUCGUGUUUAAAAACUAGAAUAAAGUGGGUAUAAAUCCGCAUGGACAAUAGUUUAGAUACACUACACUGUUUAGAGAUCCGAGUCCGGGUUGCGGAUCCAAGACAUAUUUUGUAGUUCGGAUCCACAUUUUUCGCCAAAUUUAAAAAUCAUAUUGUCAGCUAUAAUGUUUUUGCUCCAAAGAGGUCUCACGUUGCUCACCACCACCCUCACCACUCAAUUAUUAGCUAUUAUUAUUAUUAUCAUGUUUACCAAAUUCGACAAAUAUAAAUAUAAUCAUAAUAAAGAGUUAAAUAUUUUCUUAAUUAUGUUAACCCUAUACCCCAAAGCAUUAAAUACAACGCUACCAAAUGGAUUGAAAGGGAUUCUCUUUUUUCUUUUUUUCUUUUUUUCUUUUUUUUGUUUUCAGAAAAGACCAUGUCCCUGACCUUUGAGCCAUGCGAAUAGGCAUUAAUUAAGGUAAUAAAAUGUCUCCCUAAUUAACAUAAAUCAACCUCAUUCAUCCAUUAAAUAAUUGUAGUUAGGGAUAUUUGCUUCUUUAAUAUGUGGUUAUAGGUUAAAAUGUUUUACAACUUUUAUGAUCGCUGUGUCCACUUAAGUGGUAUUUGGAUUGACCUUAUUAUAGUUUGGUUAAAAUUCAAAUUUCGUAACUCUGAGCACAUUUAUUGCCCAAUCAUAGGCUAAGUUUUGAAUUUUCAAAAAAAAAAUUAUUUUCGUAAAUUUGAGCCUAUAGCUAUUUAUCAACUUCAUCUGAUUUGAUUAUACUUACUGAAACUAUCCCAAAUCAUGAACUAGGCUAAUAUAUACUAUUAAUAGCACCAAGUCAGUGGUGCUAUCAAGUUUUUAGCCAUUAGAUUAAGAGAUGUACGGUUAGGAUGAUGUGGGCCCUCUAGGGUUGAGUCAGUGGUUGGUUGAAUAGUAUGAUCUAACGGAUAAAAAUUAUCAAAAGGAUAGAUCUAACGGCGGAAAACUUGGUAGCACCAAAUGCUUCGUGCUAUUAAUAGCAUAGCAGCUGGACUCUCCAAAUCAUAUCCAAUAAUAUUUCCAAACACAGAAUUUAAUGCACUCUGACUUUCAUUUUCUAUCCAAAUAAGAAUUUGGAAGUAGCAAAGCUGGAUGUACAGGUCAUACGACGGACUAAACGCAUAAAUUUUUUUAAAAAAUAAUAAAAAAUGAAAUUCAAUACAAAUCAUUAUAAUUCCAAAUAAGAGAAUUCAUAUCCCAAUCCAACUUACUUUAAUCUAUAAAUUUAUAUAUAUAUUUUUUUUGUCGUGAUUUGAUACCGGAAUUAAAGUAUUGUAUUAAUUUUUUAAUAUUUGAAAGGGUUUUUAAAAUUGUAAAUUUAGUGCCACAUGUACAAUAUGGCUCUUCAUCAUCUACACAAAUGACCUUUCAGAUGCACAAGAUGCUACCCUCUAAAAUGUAUGGAGCAAGAGCGUUACAUAAUUUUACAAGUACAUCAAUAAUUCGUAAGGAUAAUAUUUGAAGAGUCCAAAGUAUUACGAAAAUUUUUUUUAAAAAAAAACUGUUAACAGCACCCGAAGCAUUUUUAGAUCAUACGGGAAAUUGAUAUUGCUAAAGCCAUUCUUGAUCUCACUGGAGAAACUCAGUGUUCGGGCAAAAUCGAUGAUCCACAUUAUACUAAAAAAAAAACAAAAAAAAAAGAGUAUUGGUAUAGAUUUUUAAGGAUAUUAUUUUUACAUAUUAUUCAUGUAUUAAUAUUAAUUAUUUGAAAAUUUUUGAGUAGUUUAAUACAUGCAUUAUAAAAUUAUCACAUGAGUUGAUAACUAACAUGUUUACUGAUUUAAACGUUUGGAGGAUCCAAAGCACUAUAAAGAAAAAUUCUAAACAUGCAUUCUAACUAUAUAUCAAAAAUGAGCUGCGCGAUAUUUGUAUGUACAAAAAAAUUAUGCGCAUUAGAUUGUACAUAAUAUUACCGCAAUAUUAAAUUAUUAAAUUAUUUCUCUAUUUGCAUGGACAAAUAAAUUAUUACUAGGCUUAUCGAAAACUCCGUCUUACAUUCUCGAUAAGGGCAUGUUUGGUUGACCAAAAGUGAAGUAUUCAAAGUGUUACUUUUGAAAAAUGACAUCUUAUCAGUUGUUUGAUUUGCGAAAAUAAAUAUAAAAAUUAUUUUAUAAAAGUAGACUAAUAAAGUGAGAUAUAACUAAAUUUCACUUUUUUGAUUUCGAUUGAAAAAAUUUGAAAGUCACCGAACGUGAAAAGCUUAGCUAAGAGAUUAUAUUUGGUCUUAACUUUAAUUUUUGAAUUUAUUUUUAAAGUUAAAUUUCAUCUUAAAUUUGAAUUAAUAUCAUGAUCACAUUCUGAAUUUUAUUUAUAAAUUUAAAUUCAACAUAAAAUUCUUAAAUUCAAAUUUGUGACUUUAUAUUUUAAAUUUAAAUUUUUUUAAUUUUUAUUUUUAUUUAAAUUUGAAUUCUAGAAUUUAAAUUUAAUUUUUUAUAAAAUUAUUUUUAGCCAAGAACUUCAAUUUGAACUUUGAAUUUGAACUGUUCCAACUAUACAUUCAAAUUAUUGACUGAAAUUUGAAUUUAAAAUUUAUAUUUUAAAUUAAAUUUGAAAUUGAAAUUUUAAUUUACUAUUUGAAUUUAAUUUCAAUAAUGACUUUCAAUUUAAACUUCGAAUUCGAAUUAUGAAUUCAAAUAUUCAAUUGGAAUUGUAAUUUAAAUUUAAAUUUAAACUAUUAAUUCAAAUUGUGCAUUCGUAUGAAAUUUAAGAUCAAAUUAUAAAUUCAAAUCUGAAUAAAUAUUCUAAUUUCCUUUUUAUUUUAAAAUUUAAUUUUAGUUAUGAGUUACAACUUAAACUUGAAAUUUAAAUUGUAAAUUUAACUUGUGUCUUAUAUUUUAAUUAUAAGUUCAACUCAAAUUUAAACUUAGUUUUAAAUUUUAAAAAUAAAUAUAAAUUCAAAUUUUUAAUUUAAAUUGCUAAUAUAAGUCGUUUUUUUUUAUAUUUCCACCUCUUUAUACAUAAUUAAAGAAUAAAAUUAUAAAACUAUAGUUUUUCGUAUUUCACUUUAUAAACAAUCAAAUAAUCUUACUGAAAAGUCACUUUUGAAAACGUCAUUUUCGCUAAAGUAAUUUUUUUUACUUCAGUCACUUUCGGACAACCAAACAUGUUCUAAAUAAAAUAUAAUUUCAGUGAAGAGCUUUCCAAAAAAAAUCUCUUGGAAGAACCCUGAUUUUCGAGGAAUUCUACACUGUCACACUUGCACCACGUCAUCAAUAACAAGUCAAUAACAUUCCUUCUUUUCAAACAAAAGUACAAUAAAAAUACUUUUUUACAAUCAUGAUGGGACAUAUAUUCUUAAAAUGAUUAAUUUGAUUGGUUUGUUACGCCACGUCACUAAUAUAUCCGUUGCAUUCUAGAAUUUUUUCUGAUCUUCGGCUGCAUUUCAAUUCUAUAUUUACACAAAAAUUAUAAUUUUUUUUUAAUAAAUUUUUGGAUAGAAAUAAAUAAAACGGACAAGUGGCAACGGGACUCCCCGCAAGUGAUGAGACGAGUAAGGCGCGGCCGCCUCGAGAUGCGUGCGCCGUGAAUGACGUUUUCUCGUAAGUUGAAACGAACUCGGCGGAGAAAACGCGCGAUUCGGAGUACUCGCCGCCCCGCUUGGAAACUAUUCCCUGAACCCAGUGUACAGGUUAACGCCGCAAUUAAAAAAAAAAAUCUAAUUUGACAUAUAAAAUUUAGAAAAAACUUCAAAAACCCCCCUGUGGUUUCACACUUUCUCACUUUAGUACCAUGUGGUUUAAAAUGUAUCAAUUUGCCCCCCUGUGAUUUUUUUUUUUCUUUUUAUUAUCAAUUUUAUUAUUUUUUUUUUCUUAAAUCAGUGACAAAGUUAAAAUUAAAGGGUAUUGAAGUAAAUAUUCAAUAAAUCUAGGUGUGUAUCUGAAGUUUUUUGUAUAUAAUUUAACGAAAUAUUAAGAAAAAAACUACCGAAAAGAUAAAAAUAAAAUCACAGGGAGGCAAAUUGAUACACUUUAAACUAUAGAGUACUAAAGUGAGAAAGUGCAAAACUAUAUGGGAGUUUUUAAAGUUUUUCCUAAAAUUUAUAAUAAUAAAUAUGAGUUUAAAAAUAUAAUUUUUUCAGUCUAUUAUCUAACAAUUAAGUAAUUAAAAAACUAGUACUGUCAAAAAUAAAAUUAUUUGUUUCGUAAGAACUUAGUGCCUAAAAUAGAUUUUUUUUAUAAUGUGAACUAUUGGCUAAGUUGCAUUUUUGUUCGUCAAACUUUGAACUUUGAUACUCAAGCUCUAAUUUUUUGUAAUUUAUAAUUUAGAUUUUUUUUAAUUAUUGCCAUCAAAUCUGGCUGUCUGACUGAGUUGGUUGAAUUAUAAUACAUCGUUAAUUAUAACAAUUUUGGUGUUGAUAAUGCGCAGAGGCUAUAAUGCUAGAAUUCUACGACAUUGCCAAAACAUCAAGUUUCGACUAAUUUAAAAUUAAACUUUGAAACUUAUUUGCAACAAUACAAAAAGUUUGAACUAAAAAUUAUAAAAAAUAAUCCGUACCGCAGAAUUUUAAGAUGCGGUGUAUGAUGGAAGAAACACUAGCUAGGUGUAUGCAAUAUUUCUGUGACUUUUGCUAUACCUAUGUCCGUGGACCCGUGGGAGUACCCCACUAAGCUAUUAAACUAUUUCCAUUUUUGGAACCAAUGAAAUAAAAACCAAUUAAAUUAAUAAAAAGGGCACGGAAUCAGAGGAUAUGUACUACUCUUCCCUUCUAUAAGAAGCCCCCACAUACAACGAUCGGAGCUCCUCGAAUCCCCAUCCCCCCUUUUAGACCAAAGAAACCAAAAGAGAUUCACAACACAAAGGUGAGUGCGAUUCCCCAAUAUCUCUCGUUCCCCCUCUCUUUUUAUCCUGAUUCUUCCAAGUUAUUCUAAUCUUUCUAUGUUGGAAAGAGCUCGAUCCUUGUUCGGUUUUCAUUUUUUAUUCCCUUGUGAUUUGAUUGACUGAUGGAUCGGAGAUUAAUCUGUGUUGGUUUUUUUUUUUUUCAUUUAAUUUGAAUAUAAUUUGGAAAAAAAGAAUAUACAGGGAAUGGAUCCCGUGGAGAGGUUGAAAUCUGGGUUCGAGCACUUCAAGAAGGAGAUCUAUGAGUAAGUAGUUCCCAAUUACACAUAUAUCGUAUUAAUUUUUUGAAAACAUCUCUAGGUUUGUAUAUAAAAGAUGGGGAGUAUUGGGGAUUUUUUCGAUUUUUCAUUUGUUGUCAAAUUCGUUGAUCUUCUUCAACAGUAAACCCAAAAGAAAAGUACGGUUCGUUAUUUGAAUCUAAUAAAAGAUUGUGAUAUUAGAAUAUUGAUUUUUAUUGUACAAGUGAAUCUCUCUCAUUCCUUUUUAGAAAUUAAAAAUAAAAAAUUCUUGUCUGGAACGCAAUAUGAUUUUCUGUGCGAUUCAUUAAAGGAAAAAUUCUUAAUCUCUUUUGCAUCUUUUCGCAGGAAGAAGCCCGAGUUGUUCCGCGAAUUAGCCGAAGGGCAGAGCCCACAGGUAUGCAUAUUCUUCUCCUUGGUUAUUGAGAAUUUAUCUCCAGAAGUAGAAAUUGGUACAUGCACCAAGUGCGCCACAUCAGCCCGUGCACCGCAGACUAAAAAACUAAUUUAUUGCGGAAGAGAAAGAUAAAUAUAGGUGAUGGGAUGAAGGGCUUAAAGGCCCAGUGCAUGACGUGGUGCACGGAGUGUAGGCAAUAAUGUCUGUGCUUUUGACCCAAAAGGCUUAUAGUAAUUAUACCUUUUGUUUUUAGAUAGUGGCUUUCUAUGCAAACUCUUUUUCUUCUUUUUUUUUCUUUGUUUUUUGAGAAUAGGUAGCACGCUAUCUGUCUUAUUCAUUGAAUGGAUGAAUUAGACUACAGGGAUGAGGCAACAAAAACCUCAAGAAAAACAACAACAGAAGAAACUUAAAAAAAGAAAAAAAUCAAUCAUAGAAAAUCUUUUCACGAAGAAAGCAGCAUCUCUAUGCAGACUCUUAUUAUAUAAUAACUAACUAGGAACAUGGUGGUCCUUAAAAUUUAUACAAUAUUUAAUAUACUUGUGAUGAGAUUAGUUAGAGAGAGAUAACUUAAUUAAAAUUUUGUUGAAUCAAGUUCAGCGAAACCACAAUAUUUAAUACAUAUGGGUUUUAAUCAUUAAACUGUAAAGUUAUAUUUGCAUGUCCUGUACUUAACGCUAAUAAAUAAUUUCUCUACUCUUUUGUAAUGAUAUUUGCAUGUCCUGUACUUUGCGCUAAUAAAUAAUUUCUCUACUCUUUUGUAAUGAUAUUUGCAUGUCCUGUACUUUGCGCUAAUAAAUAAUUUCUCUACUCUUUAGUAAUGAUUUUUCCACAGAUGACCCAUUGAUCACCCAUUAAUUUUUCAUGUAAUUGUUGAACAGAACAGUGAAUUGUGACCACCACCAAAGAUUUCAUCUUUUGUCUUCUUUUCCAUGCAUGCGGACCGGGAGGAAAGACUGGAAUCGCCGUAUUUGUAGCGCCAUCAUUUUUUAAUUCUUCUAAUAAAGAGAGAGCUACAUUGACUAAGAUAAAGAGAUACAUUGAAUCAGGCAGUUUAUACACCGAUUAAAUUUGACUGGGUUGAAUAAAUUUAAUUUGUCGAUAGUAGAAAUUAAACUGCUUUUAAGCACUAGCACAAUUCCCAGUGGCAUCGGUACAAAAUUUAUCCCUCACCGUAAUCUUAAUCUUUUGGAACCGAACCAAUAGUUAUAAUAGUUAAGUACAAAAUCUGAACUUGUUUAGUACAAGCUAGCAGAUGCAGAGGGAUGAUCUAUACCUGGACAGCAGGUCAGAGAAUGUGCGCUGAUGAUGUUGAACAAGUAAAGAAGAGGAGAAUGUCUAGAGACUAUGUAGCCAAAAUAGUACUUUGAACUUCUAUUUUAUGUGUAAAUUAAUAAUAUCAAGUGUACCAAUAUUGAAGACUACAAAGAUAAGUUAAAAAAAAAAAAAGAGAGAGAAGAAAAACUAGCUUGUUGAGUGUUACGAAGAAGAAUAACUUAAUCGAUCUACAAAAAUGAGUAGCCAGGGAUCAGAAACCCUGACAGAUACGUUCACUUUUUUUUACAGUUCUUGGUGUUCGCAUGCUCAGACUCACGUGUAUGCCCCUCCGUGGUGCUCAACUUUCAGCCUGGUGAAGCUUUCGCUGUGCGAAACAUAGCAAACAUGGUCCCGCCCUAUGAUAAGGUAUUAUCCCAUUUUCUCUUUCUCUCUUAUUCCUUUUUCUGUUUCUUUCUUCUCUAAAUUAUUAUAUGGUGUUGUCCCAGUACAUCAGCCAAAAAUAACCUCAAUAUUAUUAUCUACCCUACAGACCUUAUACAUAAAAUUAGAUAUAGACAAUUAGACAUGAACUUAAUUGUAUAAAUUGUCAAAAAGUCAAGACCUUUAAAAAUUUAUUUAUUAGGCAUCUUAGUAGCUUAAGAAAUUAAGGUUCUCACAAAGCUGAUCUUUUUUUGUUUUGAGGAGAAGGUAGCAUGCUACCGCUUCAUUCAUUUAGAUAGUGAAUUUAGCUACAUGAUGAGACAACUUGGCCUCGGAAAAUAAAAGAAAAAUAGAGAAAGGAAUAAAAAGGGAGGAAAAUAAAAACCCCUGGGGGGAGCAAACAAGACGACAAGAAGAGAGUCCCCACUGGAAGCUCAUAGGAUUAGGUGCCGCGCACUGCACCUAAAUUGUCAGAUCACAGGCGUUCCGCACUACACCUCAAAAAGCUGAUCUUUGUUGCAUGAAAAUCAGGUUUUCAAAAACUAUGCUUUCCAACAUAUAUAUUUUUCAGACGUUGCUGAGCAUAUCGAGAGCUCACAAUCGUACUUUAAACCUUACAGAUGGUGUUUUAAAAUAUCCGCCCAUCGUCGACCAGUCCCAGGCAAUAAUUUCUUCCCACUCUUAUCUCCGUGUGUGUGUAUAUAUAUAUAGAGUCCAGCUACAAGUUUCUAUGGUAUUAUUCUUAUAUAUUAUUAAUCUGUUAGUAAAUUCAUGCGGCACUGCAUGCAUAAGAACCAAUGUAUAUAAAUACCUUUCCAUUAUAGAUGCUAAUUUAUUAAUAACAUAUAAAGGUAAUAUUUACUUUGAGAUGUUGAAGCAUUUCUUAUGCGUAUAUUUGGUCUCUGUAAUAGUUAUUCUAUACAAAAAUAUCAAAAUCCAAUUGAAUCUCUCUGCAAUGCAUAAAAAUACAAAAACAAAGUAUUUGUUAAGCAUUAGUUUUAUGUAAAAGUAUCGUUUUGUUCCCAACUAUACUUCUUAUCAUCUCACUUCAUGCAAUAUGGUUGAUUUAGAAUUAUAUCUUAUAUAUUAAAACUAUUACUAAAUUUUCUUUUUUCUGUGUAUUAUCCUAUUUGAUCACACUCUGUCACCGUUACUUCAGCAAUUCUGAGUGGUCCACGCGCUUAAACCUUUUUUUUUGUCCUUUUUCUUUUGUGGCUGCUACUACGACAACGCAGACCAAAUACUCAGGCGCUGGGGCGGCCAUUGAAUAUGCUGUCCUCCACCUUGACGUAAGUUCAUGUUCUCUUCUCUUUUUUUCUUUUUUUUUUUUGCAUUAAAAGAAUGUUUGGAUUGUAUUAAAGUUAUAGCUGUAUAUCGAUCCAAAUUUAAUAUUUAGUUUGAUGUAUUUAAAUUUAAUUACUUUAGUUGAAGCUAUAUAAGGAGAUUCAAUCGUGACCGCUGAAUUUAUGUCUAAAUUGACCGCAAUUAUAACUGUAAUCGCUGGCAUUAAUAACUUUAAACAAAAUAUGAACUUACACUCCCAGUUAUCUUAUAAAUAUUUGUUUUUUACAUUGGAAAGUUAACUCACUAUGUUAUGUAUAUAACAAUAAAAUUUUAUAAAUACACUUUUAAUUGAAUUAGACCAAAUAAAAUAGUAAUAGUUGCCGUGCAUUAUAUUAAAUCCAACUAUGACUUUGUUUGGCCCGGCGUUGUGGCCUGCAGCUAGGCCGCACCUCACAGCUUUUUAAGAAGGCUUUCUCACAACCACAUCUUUUUGUGGUUGCGCGCUGCAAACGCGGGCCACUUCGUGUGGCCGAAUAGCUAUUAAAUAAGAUGCAUAUAAGUAUAACUAUAUGCAUCGCCAAUUAUACUGUAUUUAUAAUCGCAUUUUCCAGAGAAGCACUAUCAUGGAUAUUUCAAUAGGGGAAUGAUGAUAUUGAUAGAUUUAAUUUUAAUGCGAGCAAAUUAAAAUUGUUGAAUUCAGUCAACUAUUCGUCUGUAAAUAGUGGUGAAAUUUAAUAUAUUUAUUUAUCAAUAUCAUAAUACUAUUUCCUACUGCUGUUGUAUUGGCAUGGUAACGUGUUAAUGUACAUAUUGACUUGUAAAAUGUAAGUAUCCAUCAAAAAUAACCAAAGGUUUUGUCAUUUAUUAUAUUAGGUAGGGAGUAAAAUAAGGAGAAAGGUGUUAAUUUGAACUAUUGAAGUGCAUGCGCACCUCAGAAGGAAUAGGACCCAAAGCACUAAAUUGAAUCUUUUUUCGGUUGGGUUGGAUCAUUGACUCUGUAGAUCAAUAAAUAUUGGCCAAAAAAAAAAUUUGCAUUGCAUCAGUUCAUAGAAAUUUCACUUACUAUUUAUGCAAGAAAAUUACUCAUCUUCUCUAAUCAAGAAAUAGAAACAUUGUUUUUUUGGCAAACAAAAAAGCUUGGCCUUCUUUUUUUUUUUUUCGUCUGGACUGAGGUCUAUUACCUCACCCUUAUAGCCUAGUUUAUAUUUUUAAUGAACGAAACGGAUAGCAAACUACCGUUUUCUCCAAAAAAAAAAAAAAAAAAAAAAAAAAAAUCUUGGCCAUCCAAAGCACAUACAUAACCUUUUAGGUCAUCAAAGCAAAUACCUAAACUAAGCAAAUGCCUACACAUACACACCCAAAAAAAGAAAAAAGAAAAAGAAAAAGAAAAAGAGAGUAAAGUGUUUCUUGAACCAAUUUAUUCGAACAACAUUUAUUGUAUCAGUUAUGUCAAAGGGCCCUAAAAAUAAAAGCAAAAUAGUAAUGCCAUAUUCUAUUUUAAUCUAUUUAAUUUUUGAUAAAAAGUAUCAAAUUUUGCGAAUUAUAUGCCUUAGAUGCAGCCUCUAGUGUCAUCAAAUCAUAUAACCUUUGAACAAGUAUCAAAUCAUUCAAUAAACAUCACAUAGUUCCAAUGAAUAUUAUUGUUUCUUUCUAAAUUUGGACAAAAAAAAAUUGGUAAAUGAGCAGGUGAAAAAUAUCGUGGUGAUCGGUCACAGCCGUUGCGGCGGUAUCAAAGGGCUCAUGUCGAUCACCGACGAUGGAACUACCUGCAGGUAAGGAAUAUGUUUUACUCAUUAUUACCAAAAUCAUGUAAAUCUAUAAUUAACAAUUGGAGGAAAAACCACCUGACGUUCUAAAUUCAAAUUUGAUCUCUUCUUCUGAUUAUGAGCGUGUGUAUAUAGCUCCCCAAAAUCCUUCCAUUAAUCCUAGGUUGUUGAAUCUUCUCUGCUCGUUAAAAGCUUUUUACUUCUGCUAUACGAUCAUGAACAUUAGAUGUACACCGUUCGGUUGAGAAUGUGCUCAGUUGUACACAGCCGUCGAGUAGUGAUCGGACCGACUCGAUCAAUACAUUUUUACUCCAUAUUUAUUCAUUUGUUGCUUUCCUCUUGCUCUGAAUUGUUUUUGUGGCUUUGCUUUGCGAGGCAGUCACUUCAUAGAAGAUUGGGUUAAGAUCUGCUCGCUCGCCAAAGAGAAAGUGAAGGCCGCCCACGGUGAAUUGCCUUUCCAGGAUCAGUGCACCCAUUGCGAAAAGGUGCCUUCCUCGAUCCUCAUUUAUUGUGCGCUUUUUUUGGUAUGCUUAUCAUGUGCGGUGAAGAUUCUUUAGAUUUCCCUGCAAUUCCUAUGCACAAAAACGAUUGUUAAAAUGAUAUUCAUCAAAAGUAAACUUGGGCUGCUUGGAACCCGUUAGGAUGAAUGAACAUCUCGUUCAGCAUAUAGCUGGCAUGUGAUGAUUGGUUGAUGCGGGUUGCGGAAAAAGGUGUGCAACGAUAUUCUAUAUGCAGCUCUCAAGUUGAUUUUCGCUAAGUGCGAUAAUUCACCUCAUAGAUAAAAUGCAGCAUACUAAAAGAAUUGUUGUUAUGAGGAAAUUAUAAUGAAGUUUAAUGGAAGUCUUUAGAUUGCAAUCGAAAUAAAAGUUUCCUACACUGCACAGGCUAUCACUAAAUAAUUUAUUCAGACAGAGGUUCUUACAGAUACCAAGUCAUUGACCAGUUCUACUUGAAGUUAGCACACCAAAUGUGUUUCUUGACUGCAAAAAGAAAAAAAUAUCAAUCACUUAUGGCUUAAGCAAAAACAUGAUUUAACGAAGAAAAGGCUGUCAAAAUCCUAGAAAAGUCGUACUGAAACAGCAUUUCACAAGAAUCUCCAGGAGCCCAAAGAGGAACAUAUACUCUCAGGUUAAUGCAAUGCCUACAUGGUUUUGCUCUGCUAAGAUGAAUUUUAUACUAAAUGUUUGCAGGAGGCCGUGAAUGUGUCCCUUGAGAACCUGAAGACAUAUCCCUUCGUCAAAGAAAGACUAGAGGACAACAAAUUGAAGCUAAUUGGUGCGCACUAUGAUUUCGUCAGCUGCAACUUUGAAACCUGGGAGAUAUAAAUGAGUGUGAAGUACACUUGUAUCUUUGAGUAUGGAAAGGUUAAUUAUGCAAUAAUUCUAAGUUUCUUGUCGAGGUUCGUAUAAUGCAUAAUUUGUAUCUUUUGUGAUACAAAACAACACAUGACCUUAAUUUGUGAACAGCUACUUUUUGAUGAACUUGGUCGCUAAUAAAAUUUUUAAAUUUGCCACCUUGUGCUUGGUAUUCCUACAUCGCAGAGUCUAUAUUAUAAGCAAUGUGUUGUUUUAUUCCCUGCUAUUAUCUAUUCCGACUAAUCAACCAUUUAUUUCUGUACAAAGUGAUGAAUAUGGCUAAAAGCCUAUAGCCUCUAACAAGGAGGUCAAAAAAGCACUAAACUAAAAUAGUCUUGUAUCAUCUCUGGUCCUACAUUCAUAACGAAUGACAUUCAUCAAAAGAAAACUUCUAGUAAUUGUAUUAUGUGCAACAUCUUAACAUCACAAACUAUAGCACCAGAAGACAACGCUGUAUGUCGACCACAUCAUAUAAAUAUAAUCAUAAUGCAUAAAAGAGAUUGUUGAAAUAGGGUGACAAAGUUUAAAAGAAAUCAAAUUCUGAAGCAUUUACUAGAUAGAGGUUUGUGUUUUAUGUUUUUCCUUUCUGUCAUUUGGCAUACAACAUAGAACAGUUAACGGGAAAAAUAGUGAAAAUAAUCAACUAUAAAAGCUCUAAAAAUUGAAAUCUCCAAUUUAUGCUCCCUACAUGAAGUAAUAAUGCAUAUUUUCCUGUUUUCCUCAGGUGAAUACUAUAGGAUAUUAGAAAGCACAUGCCACAGGGAAAUCAAAUUGUUUAAUUUCAAAAAGAGAUGCCAAGGGAACAGAACUGAUUUGAGUAGAAAACUCCUCACCUUCGCAUAGUAAAUCAGCCUAGCAAGUAGCUCUGUUACAACUAAAUGAUAGCAGAGAUAUUCACACAAAUGCCAGACCAUCACUAAAUUUUAAUUCUAUAACCUUUUUUUUGGCGAGCAAAUUCUGCCAUUAAUUUGAGGACAGACUGCUUAAGAGAAUCAACAACAGAAUAAUAAGAAAUAUAGUUAAUGUGCUUUACCAUUACUUUGUCCACAAUUGAAAUUCCAUUCCCUGUAUGACUAUCACUAGAAUCAUAAGCAGCACCCUGCUAACAACAAUCCAUCCAAAUGUUUGACUUCCUGUAAGAUGAAUAAGAUUUCAAGCUCAACUUAGCCUUUCAUUGUUUUAAUCUACUAUACCUUUCACACUGUUUCCCCAGCUCGCCUGACAGUCUCAUCUGAUUAAUUGCACCUUGAAUGUUGAAAACCAGGGAUCCUCCUAUCUGGAUUAAGUUCACAUUAUGCGAUAUUAGAUGUCAACCUCGUACUAUGAUUCGCAUUUAGGCUCCAUUUGGGACCUCAUUGACCUGAACUGACUUCGCCAUAUUACUUCAUUUGUUUCUGUAGAAAACCAAGCAGCCUGCAGACCAUAUUCCUUUGGUUGCGAAGGAACUUAGCCACCAGAACAGAAAAGCAGCCUCCCACAUGCUUUUGCUUUCACCAUUCUGCUUGCAUGGAUGUUUCAUCCGCCUUAACACGGCUUAUCUUUCUUCUAAAAUUCUUCAUGAUCCGAGAUACAAAUGCAAUUGCUAGCUUCUCACUAUGCCAAAAAAGUUCUUUUUUCCUCUUAGCUUAUAUCUAACAAUUAUGUCUUAUAUCCUCAACAUAUCCAUUCAAGCCCACUUUUGAAGUGCAAUCCAACGUAUCAUAAAUAUCUCCACUCAUAGGAAGCGAUUGAUCCCCAACAAGGAACUCAUUAACCACGCCUUCUACCUCGAUCGAGCUACAUCCUGGCUCAAGCUCAACCCCUCUUCUCUCCAUUCUUUCUCUCACCUCAACUGCUUCCUUCCACCUCCCACUGGAUGCAUACAGGUUUGCAAGAAGCACAUAAUGUCCAGCAUGUUUGGGCUCUAGCUCAAUUAACACUUUUCCAACAGCUUCUCCCAAUUCCGUAUUCCCGUGAGCUCUACAUGCACCAAAUAAUGAUCCCCACACCCUUGAAUUUGCCUUCAUGGGCAUGCUCUCUAUAAGUUCCAAUGCCUCCUUAAGAAGCCCGGCUUUCCCAAGCAGGUCCACCAUGCAACUAUAGUGCUCCACCUUUGGCGACACAUCGUGCACCUUACUCAUGCUCUCAAAGCGCUUCAUCCCUUCGUCGACCAAACCCGCAUGGCUACAUGCCCCAAGAACACCAAUAAAGGUCAUAUCGUCAGGCUUUAUUCCUUCAAAAACCAUUUCAUCGAAAAGUGCCAAAGCCUCUGUCCCUUUACCAUUCAAUCCUACUCCAGUAAUCAUUGUGUUCCACAAAUCAACCCCUCUUUCCAUCAUUCUAUCAAACAAUUGCCAUGCGCUUCUCACAUCACCGCACUUGAAAUACAUGCUCACCAAACUAGUCCUCACAUUCGGCGUCCAUUCCACUGCUUCCCUCUCUAGGUAAGCAUGAACCCACCUCCCUUCUAGAAGGGCACCCAGCUCGGCAACCGCGACGAGCACACUAACCAAAACCGAAGCGAUUGGCCGAAUCCUCGAAACCAACAUCUCCCGAAACAGGACCAGAGCCUCCCCCGGCCUCCCACUCUGAACAUACCCCGCGAUCAGCGCGCUCCAAGAAACCAAAUUUCUCUCCGGCAUUUCGUCGAACAGUUCCCUCGCAACACCCAACUCGCCCGAUUUCGCGUACCCCGAGAGCAGCGCGGUCCAGGCGCUCACCUUCGCAUCGGGAACCGCGUCGAAGACCUUGCGGGCGCCGGCGGAGCGGCCGCACGUGGCGUAGAGGUGGACCAAGGAGGCGUGGACGAAGGGGUCGGAGCCGAGCCCGAGCUUGAGGAUCAGGGCGUGGAGGAGCUCCCCGUCGCGGAGGGAGCGGAGCUGGGCGAAGGCCUUGAGAGCGAGGGGGAAGGUGUAGCGGUUCGGCUCGGCGGCGGCGGCGGCGCCGCCGCCCCGGAGGCGGCGGAGCAUGCGGCGGAGGAGGGCGGCGGCGGCGGAGGGGAGGCGGUGGGAGAGGAGGGAGGAGAGGAGGGUGUUGUACAUAAAGGGGGAGGGGUCGGGGGAGAGGCGGAGGAGGGCGAGGGCCUCGGAGAGCGCGGAGGGGCGGAGGCGGAGGUGGGACUCGAGGAGGUUCCCGGCGACGAAGGAGUCGCGGACGAGGCCGGAGACGAUGGCGUGGGCGACGACUCGGGGGAGGUGCUUUGGGUCGAGGACGAGGUGGUGGUGGCCCAUGGACCGGACCGGUCGAACGGCGGGCGGUGGCGGGAGUAAACCGGAAAAGGAAAAAGGUACUGAACCGGACCGGUCUAGGGUGGGCUGAAGCGUGAAGGGAAGGAAGAAAAGUGGGAAGAACUUAGUGCAAGGAACAGGUCUAAUGGACCUGACCAAUAAGAAUGCAAUGAUGCAAUGUCAUUGUGGACAGAAGUUAUUAUUGCCUGCACCGGGUGUAUCCGUCUAUCACGCGUAUCGAGUUCUAACUUCUAAGUGCUAACUCUAGCAAACUCCUAAUUUUAUGUAUACUCUUUUAUUUAAUUUAACUUCAUAUUUUGAAGCCAUUGAAGUGUCUUGUACCUAAAUAUGAUGAAUUAAUAAAUAAAUAAAUAAACGAAGCGGGUAGUGUGCUACCUAUCUCUCAAAAAAAAAAUAAAAAUAUUAUAAUAUCCUAUAACCCCUAUAUAGCAAUGAUAUUUUAAAUGAACAAAGCAGAUAAUAUAGCACACUACGGCUUAGUUUGGUAUUGAGGUCUAUCUAACACUAUUAGAUAAAAUAGAGUUGAGAAAAAAAUAUAUAGGGAUGGAGUUGAGAAAAAAGCAUAUAAGGAUAUGCUUCUGUGUUAUCUGGUGGAACCGCAGAAAAUAUAUCAUAACCGACUCAUCACGAUAUGUGGAACACAAUAUUACGUACGGAAACAAACAGAGUAUUUUUCCAGCGUACUUUCUCACGAAUCUCCCCGCAAUCCCAAACGAAACAUACCUUUCUAAAAAAAAUAAAAAAAUCUUCAGUCUAGUUUGUACGUUAUCGGUAAUGCAAAAAUUUUCUUGUUACUAAGUUAUUUUUUAUCAUGAAACAUUUGAAUAAACGAUCGACUUCAUUAAACAUGUUAUACACUAUUAAGAUAUAUCUCGAAAUAAAAUUUUAUAUAUUUUUUUACAUUAUUUAGCAAAUGAACAAAAGGCCUGAAAAUUAAUAAUUUUAAUAGUCUAUUUGAUGUAUUUAUAAGUUUAAUGUUGUAGAACAAUCUAAAUCCAGUAAAAUAAUAAAAAAAAAACUUUUCACUAUUAGAACAAGAUGAACAAUUUAGAUCUAAAUUUUAAGUAUUUUUUUAUUAUUUUUAUGAGAUUUUUACUUUCAAUCAUUUAUUUUGAAACUAUUUAUUUUACAGAUAACUAAUAUUGAAAAUUAAAUUAAUUUUUAAAUACUUUCAAUAAUACAAAUUUUAUUUAACAAAAUCGAUCGCCGAUUAGAAUAUUUUAUCAUGAAAAAUAACUUAACAGCAUUGAGACAUUCGCCCUACCGAUAACAUUCAAGCUUAGUUCCGGAAUACACUCCAGUAAAGUAACCAAUUUGGCAAAUAUGCUACUUGUAAUUUUAAAAAUUAAAUAUAAAUUUUACAUUUAAUUAAGACAAUUUUAAAUUUUUAAUAUUAAAAAAAAGUAUAGAAAGAUUAAUUACUGUAAAUUAAAUUUACUUAUAAAUAAAAAUAAUGUAAAAUUUAUAUUUUUUUGAAUAUACGAGUAGCAUUGCUCUUCAGCAAGAUGAAUUUCUCCAUUGUGCCAGCAAUCUAAUAAUCAAAUAUAAUCAUAAAUUAUGAACUCUAAAGAAGGGCUUCUCAUAUUUGGCGUAUAUUUUGGGGCUUGCGUAUAUUUUAAAUUUGGGAUUCACUUAAAACACACAUAGUUAAUGUGAUAUGAACUUAUAAAUAAAUAAAAAAUAAUGAUAAAAUUUUCACUAUAAGGGGACCAAUUUGCAUAUUUCCACACAGGGAUUGCAGAUGAUUCGCCUCGUAGUGAGAAAUGCAUUAAAAUUCGGGUAGGUGGGAAGUAAUUUAGAGCGUCUCAUGGGCCAUUUUUGUCACAUGAAAAAAAAGAAAAAUAAAAAAUAGAAAAUGGGCCCUAGUACCUCUUCAAAAGCCGAGUGCAAGCCGCUCUAUUUAAUUUGUAAUUGGUGCAUCAAAAUUAUCAGUGAUAUUAUUAAGAAACAAAAUUUUAACAGAGAUGCAUCAAAUUUACUUAACCUGAUAUUUAAUUUGAUAUUAUUAUAUUAAACAAAUUUUAUAUGUUACUGGUUAAUAUCGCUUCUCCUUUAUAAAUUAUUACACCACCGUCUAAUAUUUUCAAUAAAUGAAAAUUAAUACAUGCUUAAUUUAGAAGUGGACAUGCUACCGAUCUCUCUGGUCCAAGUUGAUUAAGAGAUUCAGCCAUUCAGAAUACAUCUUAAAAUUUCAAUUUAAGUUCAGAAUGAGGUAGAAUAUUAUUGUCGAAAUGAGUUUACGGACUAAAAGAGAUAUAUUAGAUGAUACAAACAAAAUAUUUUUUAUAACUAAAUUUAAUAUUGUCAUAGCAAGUAUGUUAUAUUUAGUUAUGUUUCGAUGUUUUUUUUUUUUUUUUUUUUUUGGCUAUGGCAAUAUCCAACACAAAAAUUUUAGUGCAAUCCAAACUUGAUAUUAAUGGAUAAGUAAUGUUAAUAGAUAAGUGAUAUUAUUAUAUUAAUAGAUGCUAAGUGCGUAUUCACAAAGAGGAAUUAAAAUAUAAUAUUGAUUAUUAUUAAGUCAAAUUUGUUAAUUGCGUCAACGAAGAUAAAUAGAUCAGCCUUAAAUUGGAAAUAAAUAUACUGACAUGACACCUGUGACAAUAGUACAAAAUCCAUUAAAAUCUUCCAUAAAUACCGCUGCCUCAUUGCCCUUAAAAGUGAAAAACUAAAGUAUAUAAUGUAGUAAUUAUAUUGCUGAUACGAUAUUUUCAGUUAAUUAAAUAAUUUUUUAGAAUUCAUUGAUUCUAUUAAAAAUUUUAAAAAAAUAUUUUUAUUAUAUUUUUCUCUCAAAAAAAUAGAUGUGAUUAGUUGUUGAUAUAGAUGUUAUGAUAUAACUUUUAUAUAAAAGUAGGUUUUUAUGUAGCAAUAAAGUAUUUUAAAUCAAUCAAAUUUUUUUACAAAAUAAUAAUUGUCUUUUUUAAAAAAUUGUGAUGAGAUGGGUAUAUUUUUGGGGGUAGUUGUUUGGUACUAUGAAUGAUGCCAUAUUGCCAUGCCACUACUACAUUUUAGAAUUUUUCCUUCAAAAGAUCCUUUUUCAUAGCUCUUUCGGAAAAGAUGAAAAAUAUACGAAAACCUCUUAAAGUUCAGAAUUUUUGUAAUCGAAUAUCUAAAUUUUCAACUUGGUAAUGAACUUUUAAAAUUUUCUCAAAUUGUUCAAUAGAUCUAUUUCUUUGGCUGAAGUUUCUAAUUAGACAAUUAUUUUAGUCACACAUUUUAUAUAUAAUUCUACAAAAUUUUAGAAACACAAAUAUCAAUUAAAAUAUAUAAAAAAUAAUGAGAAUAAAAAAGAUUCAACUAUUUUAUUACUAAAAUCAAGGAGAAAAAAAAAUUAUGUUUUUAUAUUUUAAAGCCUUACAAAGUUAUUAUUAUAUGCAUAAUAUAUCAUCAAAACGGCUAUGUAAUUAAUAAUUUCGAUCCACAAUUUUGAUAAAAUUUUACAAAUAAUUUAAUUUUCAAAAUUUAAAGCCCACACAUCUCAUUGUAAAAUAGCUAAAUUUCAGAUAGCCUCUGUACAAUUUUCCCCUCGUACAAAAAAAUAAAAAUAAUAAUAAAAAAAAAAAAACGCCUAUCCAAGUGCAUUAAACACUGGUAUAUUAAUAAGAAACCGCUCCAUCCAUGGGCAAAAAUAUAAGCCUAAUUUGUGAAGCAUUCAUCAGCCAAGAUUACAAGUCCACACUAUGUCGGCAUUAAAUAGAAUUGAAUUGAUCUUUAAAUACCAACCUAACAGUUCGAAGCCAAACCAAAAGUGUGAAAUUUUUUUUUAAAAAAAAGGUAAAAAAAAUGGAUGCAUCGAUCGUGUCUGUGCUUGCUCUCUUCCUCCUCGUCUCUUUUUCCGAUCCGGGCGCAGUCGACGCGCACGUGAACGUCGACACGGCGUGCCGCAACGUGUCGGCCGGCCGCGUCGACUACGCCUUCUGCGUGUCGGUGCUCCGCGCGGUCCCGAACAACACGGAGUCGGACUUCCGGUCGCUGGCGUUCUACGCGUCCAAGUUCGCGCUGGACAACUACACGCACACGAUCGACGUCGCCAGCCGGCUGAUCGGCAGCAGCACCAGCACCAGCAGCCGUGCAGGCCGUCGACAAGACGGAGACGGAGACGGAGGCGACGAGGACGAGAGGCGGGACGCGCUGAAGCAGUGCGUGCGCUACUACACCGUCGGCACGCACGCCCUGCAGCUCGCGAUCGACAAGAUCGGGUAUCCCGACUUCACCUGCCUCGACCACGACUACGUGCUGUCUGCCGGGGCCGGCACCGUCUGCAACUCGAUCUGGAGGUAUCUCGGCCACCCGUCGCCCAUCGCCAGGGAGACCGACUACUCCGACCGCCUCAACAGCCUCGCCCGCCAGCUGGCCAAGUCUAUUCCUCGGCACUAACUAAUGCGUUGUAUUCGAAGUGUGAUUUGAAACAGUAGAUUGUUGUUUGUCGAUCAGGUAAUGUGUGAUUUUGUUGGCACGUUAAUAAGUCCGGUGUGUGUAGUAGAAAUUUCAAAUUAAAAUUUUUAUUUUUUAUUUUUAUUUUUCGACUGUAAGUUUAUCUCGAAUUUAGUCAAGUUUGUUUGAACUUUUUAAAUUUUGAAUUUUGUAAUUUAAAAAUAUUAUUUGUCUAGUGAUCAGGCGGUCACAAAUCUGCUUUAUGUUUGCUUUAAAAAUUUUUAAUUUCUUAGGCAAAUGAUGUUGUAAAUUCGUGAAAUUAAAAAAUGAAGAAUCUUAAAUAGUCUAAAUCAAGUUUAAUACGGAUUUGCUACCAUCGGAAACAGCACGUUUCAGAUUAUGGAAAUCUCCCAUCUAUCAUAUGAUUAUGACUAAUUAUUUUUCUGAUAUUAAUUUGAUACAGAAGAACCCAUAGAUUUUUCCAAUGCAAUUUAAUCCGGGAAGUUUAAUUUGAUGCGCAAAUAUAACAUCCUAUUGUUGUGGUGAUAUAUAUUCUGUAAACAUAAUAAUAAUGUUGUGAAGCUUUUAAGUUGAAUGACCAUAAGGCGAUGUGCUACUCAAUCCAAACCACGACUGCGAAAGCUGUUUGAUUCGAAUAAAUCAUCAAAAAUAUAAUCAUAAUCAUUACAAACCAACCAUAGUUUAUUGUUUAAAACAUGAGGGGAAAAAAAGAAUGCGGUACUAUAAAGAUCUCGACACGGUGAGACUUUUCUCUGUAACAAGAGAGUGGGAAUGGAGAAGAUCUUCCAAUGACAUUGUUUUCCUGUGCCUGACCCUUCCAGCUUCUUUCAGAAGCACUGCCAAUCUCUUCUUCUCAGUGAUCACAUCAGGAUUUGCUGUUCCCAACAGUUCUUCCCUUAUCCCAACAACAUACUCCAACAUCUCUAUGGCUUCAUUCAACCUACAAAAAGAACAAUGAUGCAGAAUACAUGAUAAGUCCUCGAUUUUUCAAAGAACUGCGAGUUCCUCAGUGCUGUUCAUGUUUGCAUUUUCCGUCCAACGGCGAGCGGCAGAGCAGGCAAACAAGCGAAAAAAAAUUUAAUUAUAUCGAGAAUAACACAAAGAGGAUAUGCAUGACAGUAAAAGAUGUUGAGUAUUCAGGGACUACCUCUGCAAUUCACCGUAAAACUCAAGCUUACAUGUACUUAAACAUCUUACAUCUUCAAACAAUAUAAAAUUCUAAAGAACGCGAUAAAUAAUAUCAGAUAAUAUACCUUCCCAUCGCGUCAUAAGCUCCUGCUAGAUUGCUACAAACUCCGAGCGUAUCUGGAUGGUACUGUCCAUACUCUUCUUCCAUAGUAAUCUUGGCUUCCUUAAACAAUUCAGUUGCUUCGCUUAUCUUGUUCAGAUGAACGCAUGCUAAGCCCAUUUGGUUCAGAGCCGUAGCUAAGAAACCCGGCUUUAUCUCCCCGCAAGCACGAAAUUUCUCAAUAGCAUUCCUAAAGAAGGAAUAAGACUCGUAAUAAUUCCCGCUAAUAUAGUAGAGUACUCCGAUUUGGGCCUCAAUUCCUGCAAUGGUGCUUGGUCGACCAGUUGCGUCAUUAUAUAUCUUAAGUGCUUUCUGAAGCAGCUUAAGCGCGUGUUCAAGCUCAUUCAUCGAUUCAUAAAUAGCAGCAAUAUCAGCGAAACCACUAGCGAUUUCCUCCAAAGAAGCCCCCGAAAGAGGCUUCUUAUAAAUUUGGAGUGCAUGUUCGCAGUAGAUCCUCGAAUCACCGAAUUUCCCGAUCCUGUUAUAAAGAUCGGCGAGGCGGACAAAAACCGAAGCAACUGACUGAUGGUUCUCCCCUUUGGUGAACUUGAACACAUUAAGCGCCUUGUGAUAAGCAAACACGGCCUCGUCGUAUCGACCCAAAGCUAAGUAAGUGUCUCCGAUGCAGCAAUCGACCGACGCCACCUCAGCUUCUUGGCCGUUCGACAUCAUCGCCAUGCUUGCUCGAACUAAGUGCUCGAGUGCAGUCUCGUAAUCUCCUUUCGUGUCGCAUAUAAGAGCCAUAAGACGUCUAUCUGCGGCUUCCUCGAGGGAAGCCAAAUCACCUUUCUGCUUAUGGAUGUCAAGAGCCAUUUUGCACAAUCUCUCGGCCUCUUCGAAUUGAACUGCUUGUAAAUAAGCUUCCGCUAAAUACCGACACGUCUCACCGACCCUCGGGUCAUUUUGGCCCAAUGCCUUCUUCUGUACCUCCAAACCUUUUACGUAACAUUCCAGCGAGCAAUCGAUUUGACCCAAGAUUGCGUAUAUGUCUCCCAAUUGCAUAUACCCCGAAAACUGCGCAAGCGAAUGGUCAUGGCCUUGUUCGGGGACUACGAUGUUAACCGAAUGCUUUAGCAUGGAAAUUGCUUCAUCAUACUGCUUUGAACUGCAAUGUAAAGACGCGAUAAGAUGAAGAGCUAGGACCAAGUCCAAUGUGGGUCGCCCCCCCGCGCUAUUCUCAAAGGAUUUGGCCGCCCGGAGUGCGAUAUGAAGAACCUUAUCAGGGUGUUCUCCCGAAGACAUCGCAUCCCUCGCUUGCUUGAGGAGAAAAGGGCCGAGGUCGGGGUUACUGAUCCCAGCUUCCACAGAAUUGUUUCUGGCUUCAUCUGCAUCGAUCUUUGUCGACUUUUCGUGUUUCUUGGCACCAACUAGUCCUAAGCUUGAUCUUUGUAUACUCUUUCGGCCUGUGUCUGAAGAUGGUUUAUCCUUUUUCGUGGAUCCUUUCGACGUAUCCUUCAUCUUAUUAUCCUUCUCCGCAAAGCUUGUAUCAAUAUUUGAUCUCUGACUCUUAGUUACAGAACUUUGGUUCAAAGAUGAACCAUCAUUAGAACUCUUUAUUUUACGGAGAUUCUCAUUCGGUUCGUCAAUUGAAACGUUCAUGCCACCAUGUUUGGUUGUGAGCAAAGAAUUUAUUUGUUUAGGAGGUGAUUCCCCGAAUGAUUUUGUCGCAGGUGAAUUCGGUUUGCGUCGAGAAAUGUUCAUCUUUUUCACAGUAGAAUCUCCAUCAACUCUAUGUAUUUUUAACCCCGGCAUUGCAAUUUAAGCAGGUUCUGCUUCAAAAACACAAAAAUAAAAAUACAUAUAUAUAUAUAUUGAAGAACAAUUAAAAAAAUAUGUGAAUUUGGUUAUUCAACAAUCUAAUGAAAUAAAAACAAGUGAAUUUCCUAAACAAUUUCCUUAAUUUAUGAUAGGAAUAGGAAUUAAAAAAAAAAACAUGAUUCAAUGGCAAACCACAUCCUUGAAAUUGAAGCAUAAUUUCAACCAAAAAUACAGAAUGUCACUUAGAACAAUCCUGAAAAUGAUCAGCGAAAAUUUCGUUAAAAAUCCACAUAAAAAACCUAAUAAUAAUCCAUAUUUUCGAUUAAAACCAAUAAUCUCCAAAUCCCAAUGUUCAUUAAAAUGUUAAUGAAGCCGAAACAGGAUAUAAUUCAAUGCAAAAAUAAAUAAAAUACCACCAACAUUUUUUUUCUUCCGUACCUUAAUAAAGAACCCAAAAUUAAGAAGAAGGAUAGCAAUUUAAUCUCAUUUGAAAAUGGGGUGGAUAUUAAUGCAGGGGGUGGUGGAAAAUCCCGGGAAUCACCCGGGCCACACCCAUGCAAACCACCGGUCUCCUAUUCUUCUCUUUGCUGUAUAUAUAUAUAUAUAUAUAUAUAGUUCUUUUUUCUUUUUUUUUCUUUUUUUCUAAAGGAAUGCAGAUGGUGCGGAUCCGGGAUGGAAGGAGUCCCACCUCCAGCUCCAUUUUUGGUCGGGUCAGAAUGGAUUCGAGACAGCUUAAUUUUAAAUUUAUUUUUGGACCUUCCUUAUUGCUCCAUUCAGAAUGGAUUGGGAUGGAAAGAAAUUUUUAGUGGACUUUUACUGAUUGGAACAUAUUAAAAAAAGCAAGAGAUGGAAUUUCUAUCCCUUACUUUAUUUUAGUAGAAAGUACUGUAACUAUAAAUAAUUUGAUUGGUUGCGUACAGUUAAGAAAUAAAUUUUAAAUUUUUAUUUUUAUUUUUUAUAUAUGAUGGUAAUUUUACCUCGAAUAUAGAACAAAUUUUUUUGUUUGAAAACUAAUUGAGGUAAGUUUAUCUUUAUCUAAAAUUACUUUCUCCAACUGUUACCGUUGGAACUACGGUCAAUUUAAGCGUAAUUUCAACUACUGCAGUUAGACCUUCUCCUGCAGUUUCUACUGCAGUAAUUAGAGUUAGAUAUAUUAAAACACGAAAUUUAUAUUUACAUACAGUUACAACUGCAGUACAGUUGUAAUUAUAUGCAACCAAACAUUCCUUUACUUUACGAAUCGAAACAAAUUGGUGGUUGGUACCCGAGACCCAAGUUCGAAUCCUAGUUGAUUUACAUUUUUAGCUAAAUUUAUUUCUAAAUGAAAUAAAUGAAACGGAUAGCAUGCUAUAUUUCUCUCAAAAAAAAGAAAAAAGAAAAAAGAAUGGAAGCAAACUUAAGAUGAAUUAUAUAUAUAUAUUUUAUAUUUU
rnacentral:lncRNA from 1 species